rnacentral:lncRNA from 1 species
AGAACGAGAUGGUGAAAUGGUGAUAUAAGAAAGAGAUGGUUUGAUGGUGAAAUGGUGCUAUAAGAAAGAGAUGGUAAGAUGGUGAGAUGGUGCUAUAAGAACGAGAUGGUUUUAUAAAGAUGGUGAUAAACAAAGACGACAACACAAGUUUAAUAAUGAAGAAGAUACACAUCUUUAUAAUAGACAACAAAGACGACAACUUGUGUGUGACACUACAAGACAACAAAAGACCAUGUUCGUGACACUUUGACACACUACAAGACACUUUGAGACCUUGCCUGUGACACUAGAAGACACUUUGAGACCUUGCCCAUGACACCACCAUACUGCAAGACACGCCAAGCUUUAUAUCAACAUCACACAGACCUUGCCCGUGACACCAAAAGACUGCAAUAUCACCUGCUUGACCUGCAAAUAAUGACAAGUAACUGAGACAGAGACAUAAUACAUAUCAAACAUGAGAGAGAGACCCGAGAUAGACUUCAUUACCUCACAAGCCGAAACGACAUAUCAAACAUGAGACAUAGAGCCGAGAUAGACUUCUUCUUCCACACCAUUGUUAACCUGCAAGUUAGGAGAGGCAACAAGAGAUGAGCAUAUUUAUAUCAAACAGAGACAGACUUCAAACAGAUACAUAGACACAAAUCAAACAUAUCAAACAGAGACAGUCUUCAAACAAAGACAUAGCCACAAAUCAAACGUAUCAGACAUAAGCAUAUUUAUAUAAAACAUAUCAAACAUCCGCAUUACAAGAACAAGAAACUACAGAACAUGAAAGACAAACAACAUAACAUAAAUAUGACAAAGAGCUGGGAAAUUAGACAACAUAAACUAAAAGACUUAAGACAACAAGUCAUUGAUGAGCUUCUUCUUCAGAGAUUCUUCAUACUCAGCUAGGGGCUCUUGUUUAGCAAUCAAACUGUCAAGUAGCUUCAUCUUCGAAAUCUUUUCUUUCAUAGCCAGGUCCUCCUUCUUGAUGCUCCAGAGUGUCUGAAACUCAGACAAUGGCUUCCCCUCUGCCAUCUUCUUCUUGCCCUGGCCCUUAGAAGCCUUCACACCCGGUGGUCGGUUACUUCCUUGAUCAUCCUCAGCAGUGGUGGUUUCAUUAGCGCGAGAGCUUGAUGACUGAGCACUGUCAUCACAACAACGAUUGGUUACUUCUUUGAGACAAAAACCAACACCACACAACAUGCAACAGAACAAACAAUCUAAGCCAUGCAUGAAUUGAAUGAUUCAGACCAUACAAACAAAGCAACUUAGCUUUAGCGUCGGAGUGAUUCUUCAUCCAUCAGAGCUGCAGAGAGAGAGAGAGGAGUGACCCGCCGUCGACGAGAGCCAGAUUGAGAGAGGUCACCGUUAUCACAACUCCAAGAGACCCACCGAGACAGAGACAAUGAGAGCCGCCAAGAGAGAUAGAGAGAGAGAAAGCUUUCUUCGUCAAUCAGAUCGACGGAGAGAGAGAGGCGGAGUGAUUCGACCUCGAAGCGAGCCACCGACAGAGACGUAGCCGUUUCCCCUUCUCGAUGAGAGCCACCGAGCCAGAGACGAUGAGAGCCGCCGAGAGAGAGAGAGAGAGAGAGAGAGAGAGAGAGAGAGAGAGAGAGAGAGAGAGAGAGAGAGAGGGGGGGGUCAGCGUUCUCGAAGACAGCUUAAGAUUGAAAACGGUUCGUCGUCAAUCACAUCGACGGAAAGAGAGAGGCGGAGUGAAAGAGAGAGACGGAGACGACAAGAGUCGCCGGUAAAGAGAGCCAGAGAGAGAGAGAUUGAGCAAAAAGUGAAACGUCGAAGGCGAGACAGAGAGGACAAAACACGCACGACUAUUGUUCUUUUGACGCUUGUCUAUCAAGACCCGCUUCUUUUUUCCCUUAAUUAAGAGCCGGCCCUUGAUUAAUAUCAUGUUUUUCCUUUUUUUUAAAUGCAGUUAAUGUUAAAACCCCCUCCUUAAGGACCAGCGUUAAACAUGGUCUAAGGCCAUCAUUAAUGCUGAAACCCCACAUGGGGUUUUUUAUUUUAUUUUUUAUUUAUUUUUUAUUUUUUUGUCUGAGUAAAAAAAAAAAAUAAAUUAAAGACCAACCAAUUGCGGACCGCCACGUGUCAGUGGGGCCCGCAAACAGUCCAAAACCCACCUAACAUCAAUCCUUAUUUCGGCUUUCUUGUGACCGUUUUUUCCCCUUUUUGUGGCUCCUCCAACCUAAAAACCACACUAAAAACCCCUUCCCCCUCCCCGAUAAUCCUGAGCUAAGAAAUAUGGAACUGUAGCUACUAGCUUUCUUUAGACCAUUGGAACUAUAUACAUUCCAAUAAAUAAAUAAAAUAAUAUGACUCAACCUAACUUGGGGCUGAUUGAGAAGGUUCGGUUCCAUCGUAAACUUCAGGGUGACUCGGAAGGUUUAGAUCGUAUAUAUGUUUUCUUCUUCUGCACCAUGGCGCCGAUUCUCAGAUCCACUUCCCUUGUCGCUUUGCAGAUUUCUCUCUUCUUCUUUGCCUCUACUCUGCCAACCUCAUCUGGGUAAUCAGAUCGUUUAUCCUCCAUCUCUACAAAUCCUCUAUAUUUUCCUCAUCUUCGAGUUUUAGGGUUUGAUAAUUUGUGCAACGUUGAUUUCAAUUUAAUGUACUUGCUUGAUGAAUCUAGCUUAUAUACAUUAGCUAUGAUCAUUUUUUCUGCUCGAUUUAUUGCAGGUCUGAGGAUAGUUACACGAUCACGGGUCGUGUAAAGAUCCCAGCAAGUAUGUUUCACCCUAUUUACUUUUCUUUCUUUGCCUUGUAGCUUAGUUUAGCUUACUGCUUUGGCAAUUGUGGGAUUGUUUGAACCGUCCAGAACUUAUUUGCAUUAGUUGAUCCGUGAGUGUGAUUAGCAGCUGCAUCUUGAGAUUAAUACCUUAUCAUCGUUGUGCUUAUGUACAUUCUGUAUAUAUAUUUCCUUUGGGAGUUUGACUUAGCUAUGUAGUAUGCCAUAACUAGGGAUGUUAACAUGGGUAAUUUACCCAUGGGUUUAUCCAAAUCCACUAAUAAUGGGUUGGGUUUUUACCCAUCUAAGAUUAAUUGGGUCAACCAUGGGUAUUAAUUUUAAAACUCAUAUUUAUGUUGGGUAAAUACAAAAGGGUAAUGGUGUACCUAUGGAUUUUCAGUUACAUAUAUAUAGUCAUAUAGAUUUUUACUAUUUUAAUUAAAUUAUAUAAAAUUUGCAAAAAUAUUUUUUUUCGUCAGAACCAAAAAACGAGUUUUCCCGCCGAAACCGAAAAAUCGAGUUUUUCUGCCGAAACCACAAAACCGAGUUUUCUCGCCAAAACCAUAAAACUAAGUUUUCCGCCAAAACCGCAAAACCGAGUUUUCCCACCAAAACCGCAAAACUGAAUUUUCCCGCAAAAACCAUAUAAUCGAGUUUUUUCGCUAAAAUCGCAAAAUCGAGUUUUCCGACUGAAAACCGCAAAAUCGAGUUUUCCCGCCAAAACCGCAAAAGGUGUUUUCCCGCCAAUACCGUAAAACUCAAUUUUUCCCGCCGAAACCGAAAGAUCGAGUGUUCCCGCCAAAACCGAAAAUUUAGUUUCCCCGCCAAAACCGAAAACCAAGUUUUCUCGCCAAAACCGCAAAACCGAGUUUUCCCGUCAAAAUAAAAACGAGUUUUCCUGCCAAAACCCAAAACCGAGUUAUCCCGCCAAAACCGCAAAACUGAGUUUUUUUGCCAAAACCGCUAAACCGAAUUUUCUCGCAAAAACCGUAAAACUGAGUUUUUCCGCCAAAAAAUUGUAAAAAGAUUGAUCCCUCCAAACUCAAAAUCAGGUUUCCCGCCAAAAUCUAACAAAUUUUCCCGCCAAAACCGUUAGAACAAGUUUUUCCGCCAAAACGAGUUUUUCCACCAAAACCAGAAAGAUUAUUUUUCCCGCAAACCGCAAAAAUUGAGUUGUCCAACCAAAACCACAAAAAAAAUUUACCGACCAAAAACCGCAAAAAGAAAAUUUUCCGCUAAAACCACAAAAACAGCUUAACAAGUUUUCUCGUUAAAACCAUAAAUGAGUUUUCCUGUCAAAACGAUGUUUACUACUAAAACCGCAAAAUGAGUUUUCCGGUUAAAAUUGCAAAAUAUUUUUUUUUCCGAAUAAGCGAGUUUUUCCGCCAAAAUCGUAAACGAGUUUUUGCGCUAAAAAAAAUUUUCUAUAAAAUUGCAAAAUCUUGUUUAUAUAUUAAAGCUUACAUUAAUGAUAUUAAUAUUUUACAUGAUAUUCAGAGUAAAUAAGAUAAUACUUUGGGUAUUCACGGGUAAACCUAUACCAUAUUGGGUUAUUUUCUUGGUUUGGAUUUCAACCUUGAUGUUUUUGAGUUUUUGCAGGUUGGGUAUAAACUGGGUUGGGUUAUUUGUGGGUUGGGCUGGGCUGGGUUAUUUUACCUACUUUUAACAUCCCUAGCCAUAACUAUAAGCAGACUGGCUAAAAGUAGUGUGUUUGAUUGAGGAUAUGAGCAAAUAUUAAUACGUUCCAAUAUCUUGAACAACGUUUUUUUUUUGACACUUUCAUGGUUUCUGUCUUCAUUGGCUUUGAGUGUUACCGACCAAUAUGCUUUGAUAGUUUGUUUAGUGUUCUUUUGACAACUUACUAUACUUUCUGUCAUUGUCGUCUUAACACUCCGUCUCCUUUCCAUUAUAGAUUAGCCUCAGUACCCAUUUUUUUUGUCCAAACUAAUCGAGAAUUUAUUUUGGCAGGCACUGCGUUUGGUCACGCAGCAAAAUUCUCAAAUAUCAAAGUUGUCCUCAAUGGUGGACAGACUAUUACUUUCCUCAGGCCUGAUGGAUUACUUUACAUUUGUAUUCUACUGUUCCUUCAAAUUUUAAUUUCCUUUAGUAUACCUAUAUAAUAUAUUAUUCUUCUACUCAAGAUAUCUGCUUACUUGUUUUGUUACUCGUUUUCCUUUACUUUUCAAAAGCCACAAAGUCACAGCUGGGACUCAUCGCAUUGAAGUUUAUGCGUUGGGCUUCUUCUUCUCUCCAGUAAGAUUUUUUUUUUUUAAUGAUUUUGCAGAACUACAGCUUUAUCGAGAACUCGCUUCUCAUUCUUCAAACAAUGGUGUUAAUUAGGUGUUAGCGCUCGGCACCAUGGCAAGGUUCAAGCAACGCUAGCAGAAACCAGGAGGAGUCUUACGGAGCUGGUUCUGGAGCCACUGCGAGCAGACCAAUACUAUGAGGUGAAUGCUUCAUACUGAGUUGCCUUUAUUAAUGUGUUUGAUUAGUUUUUAGCUGUGUGCUUCUUCCUCUCGUUUUCUGAUCGAUCAUGUACUGUUUGCAGAUGCGUGAACCUUUCAAUGUAAUGGCAAUUUUGAAGAGUCCAAUGGGUCUUAUGGUGGGAUUCAUGGUGGUUGUUGUGUUCUUAAUGCCCAAGCUGAUGGAAAACAUAGGUACGCUUCUCUAGCCCAUUCGCUUGUUGUUUUCUUGUAUCCAUGUAUUGUUGGUGGGUCUCGUGUAACCAAGAAUAAUCAGUUCACGUGUUACCUAAUCUGCUGAGGAAUUUGUCAAUGCUUUGCUUGUAUACACUAUGUAUAAUCUGGUUUCAGCAUUUCUACAAUCUCUUGCUGAAUUGAAAUAGCUAGCAAGUUAGAUUUUGUGUGUUCCUGAGAACUGUUGGUAUGUAUGGUGAAACAGAUCCAGAGGAAAUGAAGAGAACACAAGAGGAGCUGAGAAACCAAGGAGUGCCUUCACUCUCUAGCUUGUUGCCCGCUAGCCGCUAAGGAGAGCUCCCCGGCGCUAAUCAAGAGUCCCAAGACCCACAACUUCUUUGCAUGUACCGGCUAAACACUUGUGACGAGCGUUUGGAAGAAAUCAGCGUCAGAAGAUUCCUUGAGCGAUCUAACUAACUAACUUUAGGUUGCCAACGAUGGUGUUUUGUUAGUGAAGCAUUUGGGUUUGGACUGUUGAUAUAUGUGCUGUGCAGACACUCAACCUGAUGACCUUAAAAUUUGCUUUUUUUUUGCUUACUCAUUUACUUUUUCUUUGGUUUGGAAUGUUUCAAGUGUCCUCUUGCUUGGUAUAAUGUGGUCACUAUGUUUAAUAUCUUGAAUGAAAAACACAAAUUCGAUUAUUCAGAUCACAAGUAUAUAUAUAUGAACUGAAUACAGGUCAUAUGCGUUUAAUAGAGAAGGCUUGUAAUAAAUUUAAGUUUCUCAUGCAGAAACGUCAUUCUUCUAGUGAUUUACGUUUCUAACUCUUAAUCUUUUAUUAUUAUUUUAAAUGUGUCAAUUUAGUAUGUAAACUAUUGGAAAGAUCUAAUGUGCAAACCCAUUAUGAAAGGGUUGACAAAGUAAAUUAUUAUCGCUUUUAGUUGAAGUCGCAUAAAAUUAGCAUCAAAACUAAUAAAUACUAUAAAAUAUGAGAAUUUGAGCCCAGUGGGCCCAUGCAACUUAGCUCUGUCUGGAUCGGAGUGAAAACGGAAUCAUGUCGGGAUAAGCCAAUCUCCGACGACCACAAGAGAAACGGUUCCUCUCUACUACAAGGGAUAUAAAUGAAUUCUGAACAAGGAAACAUACUAAACAAAAUUUAAUCAUCUGUUACUUCUUGUUUGCUUUGCUUCUUCCCUUUCUCUAUAUUGAAUCUGAACUCGUCGUCUCUCUUGCCUCCGAUCUCUCUAUUUCUGUUUCGCCGUGGAUCGAGAUGGAGAGCUUACCGACGACUGUAUCGUCCAAACCAGACAGGAGAGGAAAGUCUUCCAAGUCUCAAAACACCUCCAAGCCUUCUCUCAUCAUGGCCUUCUUCUCUAGUCUUGCUUGGCCCGUACGUCUCAUUUAUUUCCAGUGCCUUCACUCUCUAGCUUGUUGCCCAGCAACAUCGCAGCUUCUUUCACGUGAAACCUAGUUUCAGUUGAAGAACUAGAUGCUGCAGUAUCAAUAUCCUCAGAAAUUGCAGAGUAUAUGUUUAUCAUCGCAAUCUUGAUUAUAUCAGCAGCAGAUCCCUGAAACCAAAUAAGCAAACGUUCAUGAACCCAUUUUAAGAGAAUUCACUUCGAAGGAAAUCUGACUCCUUAGAACUGUCGCCAACAGCCAAAGAGGAAAAAGGAAAAAUAACACAAUUUUAUACUAAACAGAUAGAUCAGGUGAUGUGUCAUAUUAAACGUUACUCACAACAUAACAUGAAGUGUGGGAAAAGGAAAGGAAGAAACAAGGUCGGACCUGGCACACGGAAUUUUUACAGCUUGCCUUUGAGCCUUAGAUUUCUCUUUGGCAUUCCCAAAUUUAAUUUUAGACAAGAACCGUCUUCUUCCCUUGAGAGUCUGAAUGUAUCUGCAUAUCAAAAGAUGUUCUUGGAUUGUAAUCAUAGCUCAUAAAGAAGCAACCCAAUUAAAGGAACACAUGGAGUCAUGGAGAUAACUAUAACAUCCUCACCCUUUUUCCUGGCAAAAUGAAACUGUUUCGUUAAGCCAAGAGGUGACUGCAGGGAAAAAACUUUUAAAGCUUCUAAUUUUCUCCAUGGCUUCAUCUGAGCUGCAUUCAAGCUGUUCAGCAAGACUGUUUGAACCCAUUCCAUAAAGAAUUCCAUAGAUCAAUCUUUUGGUCUGAUCUCUAUCAUGUGGACUAACAGAAUCCUCGGUCUUCCCAGUCCAUUUGGCAGCUAUCAUCGUAAAGACAUCACCUUCUGACUGACUAAGCUGUGCAAUCAACGAGGAAUCUCUAGAAAAGUGUGCCAUUAGCCGCAACUCUAUCUGUGAAUAAAUCUCUAGUUACCACAGUGUAACAAAAUAGAACACGUUUGACUAAGCAAUGCGCUUCCAAUACCUUUUCAAACCCAUAUGUGAAACCCCCUAGGUAACUAGCUCCGUAAUACAGAAGGACCCAAACUAGUUCUUGAAAAUAAUAAUUUUAGAGGAAAUAAUUACCUGAGUAGGAACAAAGAAAUCACGUGCAUUGACUUCGUAGCUAUCAGAAUCUGAAUUUACUUCUUUUCCAUUUUUGUCCAGUAUGAACUCUACUUCAUGUUCAACAGGCUGCAGAAAAGUAACAUGGCCAUUGAUUUUUAGAUACACGGUAGAAUGAAAAGGAAACAUAGCAGAAGUCAUACUUGGAGAUUAGGCUCCUCUAUAGAAAGCCGCCCAGUUGCAGUUGAUGUUUGAAGCCAGUGUCCAUGCAAAGUGUACCUUGAAAACAGCACAUUUGCAAUAUCAGCUGGGUUGUGCAAUGAAAAUGUCAUGCCAGCUAACUCAAAUGCUUUUCAUUUCAAGGGACCGCAGCUUAUCCCGCAAUAUGUUCCGUGCCCUAAGGCAUCCCUCUAUAUCGACGCCUAUACCCCAGAGCUCCAUGUCUGCAAGGACAUUGACCUGAAACACAGAAUGAAUGCAUUAUGCUGCCGCAGAAACAACUAACAAAGCACAGUAAGACAUUUUAAUAAAAGCAGUGAAAAGGGGAUAUACAGCGGCAUUUCAGUGGUUGUGAGUGCUUCAAGAAGUUCUUCGGAAACAAGGAUCUUCCAAAGAGCAGAACAAAGGGCUCGCGUUUGAGCAACCCGUCUGCAGCAACCAUUGUGGGCAACCCUUCGAAUCUGAUUCCUCCACCUGCCACUGCGAUUUGCAGCUUCAGCUGCCUCUGGUGAUAGUUUUUUCUUUACCUCCUACAACAGUUUUAGAAACUUUUAAUGCACAACUAUACUACAUAAGUUUGAGCUAAAUCUGUGUCUGACAUUGUCAUCAGGAGAGAGAUGAUAUAUAUUAAAUUCAUUCUGCCAGUUAUCAGUCUGGAAUUACCUUAUCUAUGUUUGGAUUUGAGUGUCUUUCCUCAUCUGGCCAAAGAAUCCAUGUCACGAUGCUUAUGUCAAUGGUGUGGUUUACGCGAAGCGGAGGCAUCACUAACCAAGAUCCAUCCACCAACUCAAAAUCCCUGAUCCCUUCUGCAAGAUUCAGGCCAGUGCAUCUUUGGAUUGAAAUGGCAGGACUUCUGAGCACCUGAAUCUGGACUUUCAAAUUCCACGUAAACUUUCUCGUCUUUUCAUUUCCCAUUAUAUUACUGAUUCUGUUCCAUCUAGAUUUUAUUACAUCGAACAUGUCAAUAGCAGAAUCCUUGGAAAGCUUUUCUGCACGUUCCAGGUUGGGAAGGUCCUUGUUAAGAUUGACAUAGUAUACAGGAGAGCUAUCCCAGCAGAUCGCAAUUCCAUGUAUCUCAUAAGAGAUGCGGGAGUUCAAACCUUGAAGUUUAUUAUAGUGUAUAUCAAAGAAAAAUUCCCCAGCCGAGUCCCAGAGUUAUUGGACCCUUUUCACCUGCAUUAUCCUUAUUGCUAAGAGGAAUAUCGGCAUUCCUCGUCAGCUUCUGCUCAGCAUUAUCCUCAUUUUUGAUAUCUCUGUCAUCGCUGGAAAGAAUACUAACAGCAUUAGGCCCAUCAGUGCCAACUGUAGAUCCUAUAGCUUGAAAAUCAGGAAGAGGAUCGCUCAAGUUAACUUCUGAUGAAACUUCUAAGGCAGCACCAGAUAUUUCCCUUGACUUUUCUCUGUGAUUAUCCGUGUCAAAGUUUCCACGGUCCAUGUGCCCCUCCAUGCUUGAUCGUCCUGGAAAAUGUUGUAGUCUAGUGGGAGAACAGAGCCUCCGAAAAUGUCUCUUUCAAUAGUUUCUUGUCCAUUGGGACUCCUAGCAGGAGCCAAAGGCAAGGGAUUCGACAGGUCAUGAACAUCCAAACCAAGCGACUUAAAGCAGAGAAUGCAGCAGCCCUCGCCUCUUCUGCUUUCUCAAGAACAAUUUUGCGCGCCCCAUUCUUGAUUUUCUUGGCUAAUCCCAACUGUAUCCUUUUCUGUCCUGUACCUUGUACACCAUACCAACUCGAGCACAUUAGAUGAAAGGGGAUACAAUAUUCUUUCAAACAAAUGGCCAACUUAUCAUUCCUUAUAUAAGCUGGAGAGACCUCAGUGAGGUAACAAAAACAUCAAUCUAAACUGUCUUAAGAAAACUGAAUUACCUUCUGCAGCCCACGCUGAAGAUUCAAAGAGAGCUUUGACAAUUUCAGGGAUGGAUGCUUCUGCUAUAGCCUGAGAUGUACUUAAGCCAGCUUUGUACAAUGCUCUAGCUCUUGAACCCUAUUUAUUCAACACCAAAAGCCAUCUUUGUCAACAGCACGCCUCAUAUCGUAGCUAUAAGAUUCUGGAAGUUACAAGUACCUUUAUAUAUGGAAUGCUAGUAAGUUCAACCAUUUCAGCCCUAACACCAAAUGAUACACGGUUCUGGAGUUUGGCAACUAAGCCUUCCAGAUCAUGCCAUCCAAGCCUCUCACAAAACACCGAAACCAUGGAACAAAACCUUCCAGCGUUCUCUUGGAGCGCUUGAACCAUACCUCUAGCCACUUUAAAGGCUUCACAAACCUCUGAUACAGAAGCUUCCUGCAUUUCAUAGUUCAAACAAGAAACAGUUUAAGAGAAUAUCUUGGAGCGUACGUGAUCGUGCAAGCUGCAACAGGUUUAUAUAUAUGAACCAAAAUAAGAAGCUUAACAAAGGUAAGAAAAAAUACAAGAAAGAAAGAAGCAGUAGGGGUAGCCACCUGAACUAAUUUUGACAAGAUGAGGGCAACAAAAAAUCGUUUGCACAAUCGAAGCAUCUGUUCAUCUGAAAGCAUCUUACUGCUCGUUAAACCAUGCCGAUUGUCAUAUUGUCCACGCAAAUUCUUCUUUACAUCUUGUGGUUUGUUUAGAGUUCGCCCUGUUGCACCAUGUGCCAUGCGCAUCAGAAAAGGUUCGACCACUCCAACUCUAUUGCCAACAGACUGAAAAUUGUGAGAUCAAGUAACAGUAUCAGCGUACAAAUAUAUUGUCUCAUUAUCAAGGAGACCGUUCCAUAAAGUAUUAAUAAGAAGAAUACCGUUAACUAGGAUGACAGUAAUUUGAGGAAAGGAUAUCUGACAACAUACCUCAACUUAUCAACACAUAAUAAUGCCAUAUAUUACCAGAUACAAGCUUACCUGUUCUAAAGGUGACAGUUCCAUAAACCGUUCAUAUUCCCAGUUUGGUUCAACACCAACAUUAAUUGGUGUGACUAAGUAGACCAAAUGCAAAUCAGAAGCCAUAACUAGUCCUUCACGUGAUCUAAGAAGAUCAUCCAGCACUAUCUGCAGAAGCACCAAAUACAUACACGUCAAGCAUGCUUAAUACUAUAUAAAAUGCAAUAUCAAUUGUGGAAGUCAGAAUAGAUUACAAGUGACUCCUCUGGGCAGAGUGAACUGCCAAAAGAUCCACGUCCGAGGGGUGUUGUGGUGUAUAACUUUGUCUCUUCAUUCCACUCAAGAAACUUUCUGUGGCACAGCCACCGAAGGGAAUCCUGGGCUGAUUUGACCACAUCUUGAAAGGGCUUUGUAGAAUUCAGAAGAGUACACCUAACAUAAUGAUGAAUAUCUUUGGCAGUCUGAACAAUUGCACCUGCCACAACUUCCAAUAUUGCAUGAGUCAUUCCAUUCUUAUCUUCAGAUAAACAAGACUCCAAAGGUGGGCAGCUCUCAUUUAGAAGUGCCAUUAUUCGCUUGAGUUCUCCAGGUUUGCAAAUCAAAACCUGGAAACAAAUAAAAAUUUAAAACAAGAAUCAAAAGCCUAGACCAUUGACCACUCCAAACAAGAACAUACAUUUUUUUGGGAAUUUCACUACGAGGAGCUGAAAUGUAAAUUAUAACAUCAUUAUUUCAAAAGAAAUUGAAGGCAUACACUUUUUUCAAAAGAAAUUGAAGGCAAAUUGAAGGCAUACACUUUAAUUUCACUACGAGGAGCUGAAAUGUAAAUUAUAACAUCAUUAUUUCAAAAGAAAUUGAAGGCAUACACUUUUUUCAAAAGAAAUUGAAGGCAUACACUUUCUCCUUUUGUAUCAAUCCCAGUCCGCCCAGCCCGACAAGACAUUUGCUUGUACCUUGUUCCAUCAAUAAAAUCACGGCCAAUCAUUGGUUGCCGAAAAAUGACUCUCCUUGCAGGCAAGUUAACCCCCGCCGCCAGAGUGGAUGUAGCUGUUAAAACAUGUACAAGACCCUUAGGGUAACAGGUCUCAACUAUCCCUCUUUCUUCUACCUGAAAUCCAAAUAAAUUUGUCUAUUUAGUGCUGGAACAUGAAGAUAUUCACUUUUCGUAAUAGUCACCAUCUCACAUGUAAAUAGCAGAAGAAUCACAUAUUCGUUAAGACAAUAUAUACGGUGAAUGGAUUGUGUAUACAUACUGUAAGACCAGCAUGGUGGUAGGUAACCCCAGAGGGUAGAGUUUCUUCUAGUACAGGAUCUACUCCAGACGGAGACCUUCCCAAGGCAUCAAUAGCAGAUGUGAUAUCCAUAAACUCGCUAUUUUCACCAUCAACGUCUAUAAGCACUUUUUUAUGAGCUUUGCAAUAUGCCUCGCAGUUGAUUCACAUCCUUUUCGACUCGAGCAAAAUAUCAACACUGAAUUCCCCUCUUGAACGACCUGGAUUGUGAUAUUACAUCUGAGUUUUCCUUCUUGAGCCAAAUUUGAGUACAUGUCUAAUAAGAAACAAACAGAAAAAGGAAAGUAAUUAAUCAGGACCUUAACUCGCAAACGCCAUUAACUCGUUACAAAGCUCAAUGAUAUGGUCUGGGUCUUUUCCUCCCAUAUCAGCAGCUUUUGGUAAAGUCCUCACAACCUCCAUCUUUUUAUUAUAAAUGAUGUUACCAACUUUAAUAUACUCCUCUAGUGGAGCUGGUCGAAACUCCGUCUGAUAUAAAGCUGCCUUUAAACAUGUAAAACCACAAUAAAUUUUAUGAUUGAAAAGGCCACAAUAAAUUUAGAGAGUUCUAAUUAGGUGACAAGACAACAAUAUUUUCCGAAAAUAACUACAGAAAAAACUAUCAACACCCGUUGAAGAGAUCUUGGCAUACACAGGUCUUCAUUUUACAGAAAACGUAACAAUUAUUAACAAUCACGAACAGUAUUUCUGGUGCAAUUUCAUAAAAAUACCAUAUUCUUAUAGUUCCCGUAGACAUGCAGAUCUACACAUCUAUCUAUGAAUACAUAUAUGUCUAGAGAGAAGUGGCAUGCAACUGAGUGAUCAUAAUACAAUAUAUAUAUUAUUAAAUAGUGGGUUUUGUCUUACUUGAAGCCAGUCAGUAACUGCUCCGACAUUCGGCAUUGUAGCACUCAUACCCACAAUUUGUAGGCCAUGAUCAGGAUCAUUCUUUCCAUUGCUACUCCAUGAACUCUCACCACUACUUGACUCUGAACUGCCUUCACCGGCAGCAUAAAGAAGUUUCGUCAGCAUAAGUUCCAAAAGAUAACCCCUAUGUUGGUCCCCCACCUGUAUAAACCAUGCGCAACAGGUUCCUUUAAUGCAUUCAUUAUCAGAUAAGGUAGAGUACGAAGAAAACAAAGAUAGAGUCAGACAGUUAUAAGCUUGUCCGUGAUCUAUUUAGAGGAGAUAUGUGAAAACCAUACCAUGUGCAGCACUAUAACAAUUAUCCCAAGUUCAGACAAACGACCCUCUUCAAGCAAGCGGUUUAUCAAAGAGUUUGCCUUCUCAAUCGUGCAGACAGCUACAGAAGGCCUUUAGGAAGUGUUCCACCGCCCUGAUUUCCAUAGUAACUACGAACAUGCUUACCAAGUGGUUCAAGAAGGACCUCAAGGUGUUCCGCCUGCAUCCAAUUGUUAUACGACUAAAUUAACAGAAAGCAAUAUCACAAAACGUGUCGGAUACUGGGAGAGAAUAAUAAAAGAAACCUUCUCAGCGCAAAUGGAUACAUAAGGUAGCACAAGCUAUGCCACUUUUACAGUUGUUAUGACCCGGCGCAACAUCAAGACUUCUGCAACAAAACUUUUACCAGCACUGCACAAAUAGCAUGGUUUUUAAAAUUGACCAUAAAUUCUUGUCAGACAGACGCCUCCCAGUGAGAUCAAUAAUUUAUGAAAGAAAACUUUUAAUUGGCAGAUUCAUCGCAAACCAUGAAGAUACCUUGUAGAAGCACAAUAUACUAGAUUCCUUUUCUGCAAAACACCAUCUACCUGAAGACACUCGACCUAGAAAAUUUUAUAACAAUUUGUAUUCAGCUAGUGAAUCAUCAGAAGGAAUAGCAUACACAUAAAUAGAAUGCAGGAAGAGCAGAUUAAUUUUGGAUGGCAAAUACUAGUUACAGGCUCUCAACUAUCUUACACUUUCUAAACUACAACAGAGAAGCAUAUACACAUCUAUCUAUCUACAGGAGUAGGGACACUGAAAACAUUGAUCAGCCGUAUAUUAAAUAUAUUUGUCAAAUAACCACACAAAUCAACUAACAAUUAUGUACCUGCCAUGGAUAGAGUUUAGAUAUUCCUUUCUUAUUGUAUACGCUGCAAACUUCUGAGGGAAGCCACGUGCUAAGACUUAAACCAUCUUUCCUAUGAUGAGAGCUUGACGGAGUCUGACUUUCUUCGGAUUCACUAGAAUCAGCUGAUUUUCUCAUGUUGCUGAUCGCAGGGACAAAUCUUACACUAUACUUGUCAAAACAUACAUUCCUGAUAAGUAGAACGAUAAAAAAAUUGAAACUCCAGUACUACACUAGUGUUUUACAAAAACUAAAGAGAAACUACUUAUAUUUUCGUUUUUCUUGAUUCCAAUCACAUCUCAACUUUGAUUUACCCAAUACCUAGGCUUACAACUAUGGUUGCUUUCUGCUAAUACAUUUGGGUGGAACAAAAAGUAGCUAAAUGUAAUAUUAAAAAAUGUCAGAUAACUCAAGGACGUUGACAUUGCCCAAAAAAUCUUCAAUGCUUUUGGUACAAACUCAUCAACUUAAAAAAAGUGAAGUUGCAACAGAAGAUAUUUACCUCAACGUCGGAAAUUCUGGCUCUGCCGAUGGAUCAGCCACAUCGUUAGUAGGUCCAGCAUUACGAAGAUUUGGAGGGUAAGACGUCAACGGCUGUGUUUGUGGAGGUGUGAACACAGGUGCUGAUCUCUCCGAUCUCUGAGGGAAAACAGCGCCAGCACGCUGAAAGAGACAGGAAUAAAGAAUGGUGAUUAGGGAAGAGUUGAGGGCCAAUUUCUAUCGGAACUCACAAAAGUAUCUAUCAACAAAUGUUGUUUUUUACUACCUGCAACUCUUCAGAAGGUAAGAUGAUGGGCUCGAGUAGCCGCCUGGAGAAGCCGAGGAUACCUUUGCUUUCCCUGGUGUCCCACAAUUACUGAAGUCCAAGGCACGACCCUCCACCUGCAUUUCCACACACUAUUAGUUCAGAGUAAGUCAACUUAUAAACUCAAAACUGAUAUUUCCUCUUAUCUCUACUCGUUCAAAAUCCAGUUAUCAACAUUAAGCUAGACUAAGAAGAGAAGAAGAGACAUGAUAAAGUUUUCUUGUAACUAGCCUACUGGUUGAAAAGUGAGUUAUGUUGUGACAGUUGAAGCUGCUACCUGGGAUCGGUUUUCCAGUUGAUCAUGAGGCCAGUGCUGAUUUUCUUUCCCUUGAAUAGAUUUGUUCAGCUGUCUCUUCUUGAGUAUCGUUUCAGGUGUGUCAUUACCCAAGACUUCCAAAGCAUCUGCAUAUGCCGUAGCUGUGUGUUCACUCAAGUGCUUCAUCAGUCCUAUGGCAUCAUAACUUCACUCUCCGGGACUCAUAAAGCAUCCAAUAUCCUAAGAAUAAACGAAAAACAACAUAUAAUAUUUGUCCAUCAACAUGUGCUUUAAUCUAAAACAACAAGUAGAGUAUACAGAAACUAUUCCAUCUCACAUUACCUCAAUUGUAAUUUCUGGAGGCAAAUUUGGACUUUGUAAGAAAGAACCAAAGAGUAAAGGGGAUUUCCAUGGUGAUGGGGUAUCAAGGAGUUUUUUGAACGGAGUUCCAUCAAAUCUGGAAAACGAGCAGAACCGAGACAACUUAUAAUUAAUACGUUCCAGCAAAUAAUAUGAUCUCAGUAGAAAAAUCAGGCAUCAACACACAUACAGAGGAAAGGUAAAACUUACAUGCUAUAGUUUUCAAUAAUAUCAAAACUACUCUCUGCAGUGUUGGUUUUAUUUUCUGUGAUUGCUGAUAAAGGAAUAGAGUCUCCAGUGAAUGGAUCUUUCCCAACUGUAUUCACUUUAUUGUCUGGUAUAGAUCCAGUUUUAUCAGGAGAACUCAGUUGCAUCUCAGCAUCAUUAUAAUAAACCAAACUUUUACGAGUUUCUUGGUCCUGGUGCAGAAGAAAGCAACAGAUUUAGAGAUUAAAACUUUAAAAGUUAAAUUAUUGGAGAACUACCAGUGGUAACACUAUGAUCCUUGACAAAGACAGCUCAAAUAACUAGAUGCAAUGUGAACAACCUAGACUGACACAUUCCAACAAGAAGAGAUUUCAAUGAACUAGAUUAAUGUGUUAGGCAACGAGAAGUGAACUAGUAGACUCAAUAUAUGUAUACCUUAUAAUGCACGUAGAGUAAAAAGACGGACUUACAGUUUUAGCUGAAGACUCCAAGGUUUCCUUGGGAUCCUCUUUGGCUUCAGAAGAGGCACAUUUAUUUUUAUUAUCAGAAUAUUCAUACAGCAAGUCCCGAUGCCGCUUCUUUAAGAUGGAUGGUGCACCACUGAAACUUUUGGCAGCAUCUUUAAGCAUGACAUCAGGGCUCUUAUCAUUACGCGGUGAAUCCCAUAGCCUUAAUGGAGUUGUACGAUUCAUCAACUGGCGGAUACCAAACGGACUGUACUCUUGCCUUAAGUCACUAUUAGAUGGUACAAGAUCACAGCUGAAGAAAGGAAUAUCUGCACUUGGAAACCGUGGAGGCUCAUAACAAAGAGAUCCUUUGUCUUUUUCAGCUGGCUUCUCGUCAAUAGGGAAAAGAAUCUUGUUCACUCUAGAAGGAGAAGCAAAGUUAUCCAGAGGUACUAGCUUCAAAGAAUCAUUGGAAAUAUAUGAUUCUGGGAUGCCAUCGUUAUCAUCAUUUCCCUGAGAAGCUAUAUGUGCAUCAUUUGUAUCAGUUUCACGUUCUAAUGCAGUAUCUCCAAGGAGGUGACAACCUUGAAUAGAAUCAACAUGGAGUAAAGCUGAGUCCUUCCCAGCUGAAUAUAACAAAGGAACAUCAUUAUGACCCUCCAGGCCCUCAGAAUCUGAUUGAUGCCAAGAUAAAGCUGGAAUGUUUCCAGUUUCAUGAGCAUGUGUUUCUCCUUUGCCCUUUGGAGUGUCAACCAUGUUCUGACCUUGCUCACCAGAAGAUGUACCACUAUCCUUCAUGGUAUAUGGGAAAAGAACCCUACAGCAAUCCACGUCAGUAGUCAAAGGUUGUGGAUGAAUGCCUGUGUCCCAGUUUGGCAAAUAACUUAAUCUGACAGAAUUUUGAAUAGCUUGGCAUGCUUCAUUUUUUUCAUCUCCGUCCAUGUUAUGGGCCAAUAACUGAGGACAGUCUAGAUCGAGGUCUUGUUUAACAUUGUUAGACACGCUCUGCAAUGAUCAUCUGUAGCUGUGGUGGUUCUAACCUCGGUUGAACAAUUACGCUUCUCACACAUCUUUGAGGAUUCUGCUUCACAAGAAAUUUCAGGGACAACAAUUUUGACAUCUUCAAAGGAAGGGCAGUAAGAUUCUGCAUGAGAUGGAGAGUUUGAGAUUUGGUGCUCCAGUCCUGAAAGCAAUUCAGGAAUGUAGAAUUCUUCAUUUGCAGGUUUAACCUCGUCUAGUAAAUCAUUGUUCGACUGUGAACAACUGAAAACAGUUGAAGCUUGACUGCAUUCUGAUUCUUCGGCAUCAGCCCCUUGCCUGAAAUUAUUUUCAUCCCCACUGCUGUGCAUCAACGAAGAAGACGAAGCGAUGGAUCUGUUCUGAAGAGCAACCAGUGGCGAGCUUUGACACUGAUCUAAAAGACCUGAUGCGUAGUAGGAAUCCAACUUCUUCUUCACUGCGCUGUUCCAGUGAUUUUUUAUUGCAUUGUCUGACCUAUGAAAGCAUAAGAAAUAAUAAGAAAAAUAACCAAAGAAGGAAUAUGCCAUACCCAAACCGUUUCUGGAAAAGACAUAGUUACCUUCCUGGCAAAAAAUUCAUUAGCUCUGCCCAUUUAUUCCCAUAAAUUUGAUGUGCACGAAUAAGAGUCAGUUCCUCUUCCUGAGUCCAUGCAUUUUUAUUGAUGCCAAGGUUAAGACGGUUAUGCCACCUACAUCAGCCAAAAUAUUUAUUCAUGUGUAUCCAAGCACAACUUAAAAGAGAAAGUGUAGUAAUGAAUGUCAUCUCAUUUGACAAAAGAAGUAGAGAUUAUGAGCAUACCUUUCCCUGCGUUGUUUUCCNNNNNNNNNNNNNNNNUUUCCCUACGUUGUUUUCCUAUGCGGCCAGGUAAAUGCUGAGAAAUAGUAGACCAUUUCGUUGGCCCAUAUUUUUCUACCAGAGCGAUUAUUGUGUCAUCUUCCUUUGAAAAUAUGGAAAAAAAGAUGUUAUGAAACACAUUACAGAUAUUAACAUGUACGAUAAUGAAAGGACCACCACUAUGCAGACCAAAGUUGAGUAAAGCAUAUAACACAAUUUCACCACAUACCUCUUUGGACCACGGCCCUUUCACAAGCUCUGGGUUCAAGACCUUUUGCCAUCUGUGAAGACACUGGACAUCAGUCCGAUCCUUAACGCAUUCAGCUGAAAAGGUGACACAAAUAAAAUCACAUAUCGCUUUUCACCAUCUUCAUCAAUGACUACAAAUAAACACGGCAGCUCAAAAAUAGAGUAUUGAUAUGAUCUUUGAAUUUCUCGCUAAGCUAGGACAAGAAGGAAUCAGAAUUUUGCUACUUGACUUUUACCUAUCUUCUUCCCGUUCUUUCCUUGAAAACGCUCGGCAGCUUUGCACAAAACUUCAUCCUGAUACAGGAAAACAGAAUCAAUCCUACAUAAAGUUUAAUAGAAACAAAUGUACAGUACGCGCAAAGGAUAGCUAAUGCCAACUAGUUAAAUCGAAAUGUACAAGAGUAACAAUAGGGUGUGAUACAUUACAUACAACCAACUGAUUACGCUUAGCUAGUGUGCCAGGGUACAUCUCUGAUUGGCAAUAAAUAAAGAAUGCCAGAGUCAGAUAAAGACAGGAACUAACCUCUUCGGGCGUCCAUUGUCCUUUGGUGGAUCGUCUUGCAGGGCCACUCAUCCUCCUAUGAAAGUGUUCAACACAUCACAAAGAGCUAGCAACAUUAACCUUAGAACGCCUAUUUGAAUGCAAUAUAUGGUGCUAACAAAAAGCAAUUUAACCUCAACACUGACAAAACCCGACAUAAGAAAAGAAGUGGGAACUGAAGCAUACCCAUGUUUCCCUUGCAGGCUUCCUUCUGUAAUAUUGGGGGCUUUCAUCUCACGCUUCAUACUUAGCAAGAGAAGCAACAGUAUAAAAUACCCCAAAGCCAGUUUCUUUUGUGUCUUUUACAUAUCCCUAGUAAGCUCAGCACAAUGCACACAUAGUCUGAUACAAAAAUAAAAAUAAUCCAUAAACUUAAACACAGUCGAACAAAAAAAUCACCAUGAGCUUAAAGACUACUCUACUCAUAUGAUGAGAUAAUUACAAAACUUAAGGAUAAUAAGAACCCAAAACAAACAAACAAAAAGGUUGGAACUUUAUCUAAACAAAAUCUGGCUAAAAUCGAAAUGGCAGUGUGCUGUGAGGAGAAAACUAAGACAAAGCUUCAAAGAGUAUUAUUUUGAUCUUUGAUUCAAAACUCAAAGUGUAAAAUUUGAUCUUUGAUUUAAAUCUCAAAGCUUCAAAGAGUAGAUUUUGAUCUUUGGUUUAAACCUCAAAGCUUCAAAGAGUAGAUUUUGAUAUUUGAUUUAAAGCUUAAACCUUCAAGGAGUAAUUUUUACCUUUGAUUCAAAAAUCAGGAAGAAGCCUGAGUGUGACCUUAAGAAGCAGGAGAUGAAUCAAAUCCAAUGAUACAGGGAACGUAGGCACGAAGCAACAAGACUCACAUAGUAACAGCUCAGCAGCAGAUCCACUAAAUCCAGAAGUGACGAUGAUGAAAAUAAAGAGGAGAGAGAGAGAUGUGAGAGGUAUUCAAACAUGGAGAGGCGGAAUUCAAAGUUUAGAUCAAAACAAAAGUGGAAAGGUGAUCUGAGCCGUUCAUUUCAAGCUUGUGUAUCUAAAGUCUCCCCAUUAAAGUUCCACGCCUAUAUUACUAUUAUUUCUUUAUUACCAAAACGUUUUCUUAAUUUCUCUCUGUUUUGGGAGAUUCUGCUGCAUCGUUUUUUCUUCACUCAAAUAGCAUUCUUUUUCUUUUACUCAAAUAGCAUUCAUUAGCAUAUUUUUUAUAAAUCAUAUCGUGGAUGUCCAUAACCGUCAUGUUCUAUAACCGGCCCAUCCGUUAGAGAGAGAGACGGCCGCUUUCCUUAUUCCUCAUAGGCGGCUACUUCCUAUUUCUUUUAGACUUAUGAUUUGUACUAUUUCAAUAUUUGUAUUUUCUUUUCUAGUCUUUCCAUUAUUCUAUGACGGUGUAAUUUUCUAUAUAUAAACGACUCCUUAUGUUUAUGAAUAAUACAGAAACAUACAGAUUAUACUCUUGUUUCACAACACGUUAUCAGCACGAUUACUUUAAGAACCCUAAGCUACAAAAUCUCUACGAUAAGAUCUUAAACCCUAGCUGGCGAUAACCUCAUCCCGAUAGCGAACCAAAACCCGAUCGAGAACAUCUCAUCCCGCAUUCAAACCGUUCCCGAUCCCAUCCAGCUCGAUCUCAGCCUGCUCGAGGCGACCCGAUAGCAGCUCGAUACCGUUUGACGAUCUCAGCUCUAGCUCGCGACGAUCAGCAAGCAAUCCGUUCGUGGUUCUUCUCUAGUUGGAGGUCCAUUCAACUCGUCUUGAGGUUAAGGUAAAACUAAACCUAAUAACCAAACCCUAAGGCAAUAGAUCCUAACCCUAAAACUUGAAAUUGAAUCUAAUUGCUUGAUCUAAAUUGAAACCCUAAUAACCUAAAGCCUAGCCGCAUAUAUGCACCUUGCAUACCAUGCAAACCCUAAUUCGAAAUCGAAAUUGAUUUGAUUGUUUAUGUGAUUGAAUGUUUUGAAUCUGAUUAUAAUCACAUAGAACCGAUUGCUAGGAUUGCUUAAUCUCAUACUUGAAUCUGGUUGAUUAAAUUAAUGAACCAAUAUCAUGUUAUCUUGAAAUUGAAAUCACCUAGAUUGAUUAGUUCUCAUCUUGUUUAAAACUUAAUCCGACCGGCCUUGUUAAUAUUGAAACCCUAAUUGCAUUAAUCGCAUUGAAUAUGAUCUUUAGGUUGAUAGUAACUAAAUCCCUUGAUGCAUUGCUUGAUUAUUUGAUUGAGGUUUCAUGUUUCCAUGAUCUCAUAUAAACCAUGUUGCUAGGAUGUAUAAACUGAUUGCAUUAAGAUCAUAUAGAAACCGUUUGAUAAGAUUGAUCAUCCUUGUCUUGGUCGUGCGGCUUGCGUUUGCAUCAUACCCGUAUGCAUCAUAUCUCUUUUAUUUGUGCGGCUUGUUGCAUAUCCGUUUAGCUUAUCUUGAUUGCAUCAUAUAGAACAUUGAACAUUAUAAUUCUAAGAUUGAAACAUAUGAUUUCAGAUGUCGAAAAUCAACAACUCGGAUUUUGCUGCCCUAAAUUUCUCUGGAGAUAAUUACUUGCAAUGGGCACUUGAUACUAAGAUCAUCUUGAAAUCCAAGGGACUCGGUGAAUGUAUCACCGAGGACAAUAAUGCAAGUGAGAAUGAUAGAUACAGAGCGAUAUUAAUUAUACGCCAUCAUCUUAUUGAGAGUCUCAAAGAUCAGUACUUGACUAUUGAGAAUCCUCUAGACCUUUGGACAAAGUUGAAAUCGAGAUAUGGUCACCAGAGAACGGUGUUAUUACCAAAGGCUACAUAUGAUUGGAAGAAUCUCAAAAUCCAUGACUUUAAGUCCGUGGACGAGUAUAACGCGGCCUUGUUUAAAAUAGUUUCAAAAUUGAAACUGUGUGGUGAGGAUAUAACGGAUAAGAAUAUGCUUGAGAAAACCUUUUCCGCCUUUCACACAAGCAAUGUGUUGUUACAACAACAGUACCAUGAGAAGGGCUUCUCUACUUAUGCUAAUCUGAUCUCUUGUCUCUUGCUCGCUGAGCAGAACAAUGAACUGUUGAUGAGGAACAUUAAAUUGAGACCUCCUGGAACAACCCCAUUACCUGAGGCACAUACGACCGUAGAGGCUAAGAAAGAGUUGAACCAUGUACAGAGUGAUAGCCAACACGGUCGUGGUCAUGGAAAAUUGCAUGGACGUGGUGGUCGAGGCCGAAACUCGUUUGGUCGAGGCCGAGGCAACUCAUAUGGUCGUGGCUCAUAUGGAGGUUGUGGACAUGGCCGAGGCCGUGGUACAUCAUUCAAGCCAUAAAAUUCGACCAAAUCCGUGUGUCAUAGAUGUGGUAUGGAUAAUCAUUGGGCUAAGACAUGUAGGACUCCCAAAAAUCUCGUUGACCUCUACCAAGAGAGUUUGAAAUGGAAGAAUCCUGAAGCCCAUAUGACUUAUCAAGAUGGUGAAGAAGAUUUCAAUCAUGAACAAGAUGAUAUUAUGGAUUAUGAAACUUCAGAUUGUUUAAAAUAUCAAAGUUGAUUUCGGCCAUCUAAGUCUUUGUGUUCUUUGCUUUGUGUUUUCUAUGUUUUGAUUUCUUUGAGCUUGUUUUCUAUUUAUAAACUUAAUGAAUGAAAGUUUUUAUAAAAGUUUCUAAAGUUUAGAUUUAUAAAAGACUAUACGUCUUGAUAAUGAGUUCAUGUCCCAAGCGUUUAAUGAUUACUGUAUGUCCAUGGGGUUAAGUGUAGAACACUCCGUGACACAUGUACAUACACAGAACGGCUUGGCCGAAUCAUUCAUAAAACGAAUUUAACUAAUAGCUAGACCAUUGCUUAUGAGGUCUAAGCUUCCGGCCACAGCUUGGGGACACGCAGUCUUGCACGCGGCCGAACUGAUUCGUAUAAGACAGUCUAAUGAACAUAAAUAUUCCUCAUUACAAUUGCUUACGGGUCAUGAGCCAGACAUAUCCCAUUUUAAGACAUUCGGUUUUGCCGUUUAUGUUCCAAUUGCUCCACCACAGAGAACAAAGAUGGGACCUCAAAGGAGGAUGGGGAUAUAUGUUGGAUAUGAUUCUCCCAUGAUUAUAAAAUACCUUGAGCCAACUAUGGUUGAUUUAUUUAAGGCCAGGUAUGCGGACUGUCAUUUUAAUGAAUCAGAACAUCCAACAUUAGGGAGAGAUAAUAAUAAGCUGGUAAAAGAAAUUACAUGGAAUCAAACAUCCUUAUCUUGGUAAGAUCCUCGGUCUCAAGAAUGUGAUUUAGAAGUCCAAAAGAUAAUACAUUUACAAAAGCUAGCUAAUCAAUUGCCAGAUUCUUUUGCUGGCCCAAAGAGAGUAACAAAGUCAUAUAUAUCAGUUGCUAAUGCACCAAUUCGAAUUGAUGUUCAAGAGGGACACAAUCAAGUUGCCACAUAUUCUAGACAACAUCUGAAACGUGGUAGACCAAUAGGUUCCAAAGAUAAGAACCCUUGGAAAAUUAAGAAAGGUGCAGAAAAUUAAAAUGAGGUUGUUAAAACCCUAGACGCGACCGUGGCCGUUCCUAAAUCUCAGGACUUAGCCGCGGCCGAUCCCAAAACCCUAAUAGCAAUCGCGGUUGAUCAUAAACUCUUAGAUGCGGCCGACCCUGAUGUAUCUAAUCCUGAUUCUUGGGACGCCAAGAUUCAAGGUACUAAAGGCCCUGAUAAUAAUGAGAUCUCAAUAAAUUAUGUCUUGUCUGAGAUACAAUGGAACAUAAAGAAUGUCAACAUUGAUGAUAUAUUUGCAUACAAGAUAGCACUUGAACUUAUGGAUUUGAAUGAGGAUCAUGAAUCCACGUCUAUCUAUGAGUGCACUCAACAAUCAGAUUGGAUCAAAUGGAAAUUAGCUAUAAACGUGGAGUUAAACUCUUUAAAGAAGAGACAUGUCUUUGGACCAAUAGUCCGGACACCAUAUGAUGUUAUACCAGUCGGAUAUAAGUGGGUCUUUGUGAGAAAAAGAAACAAACAUGGCGAGGUCGUUAGAUAUAAAGCACGGCUUGUUGCACAAGGAUUCUCACAGAGACCAAAAAUUGAUUAUGAAGAAACAUACUCCCCUGUAGUGGAUGCUACUACUUUUAGAUUCCUGAUAAGUCUGGCUAUAAGAGAGAAAUUAGACUUGUUGUUAAUGGUGUUGUAACUGCAUACUUAUAUGGUCCACUGGAUAACGAGAUUUAUAUGAAAGUACCAGAGGGUAUAGAGUUGAAAAACAAAUCGAGUACUCGAGAACAACACUGUAUAAAGUUGAAUAAGUCACUUUAUGGAUUGAAACAAUCAGGUUGAAUGUGGUACAAUAGACUAAUUAAGUACCUAGUGAAAGAGGGCUAUAAGAAUGAUCUGAUCAGUCCAUGUAUCUUUAUAAAGAAAUUCGAAAGUAAAUGAUUUGUGAUUAUAGCAGUGUAUGUUGAUGAUCUGAAUAUUCUAGGAACCUCUGGAGAGAUUUCCCAAACAGUUGAAUAUCUUAAGAAAGAAUUCGAGAUGAAAGAUCUAGGAAAAACAAAGUUUUGUUUGGGAUUACAGCUUGAGUACAUUAAAGAUGGAAUCCUUGUGCAUCAAAUGGCAUAUACAGAAAAAGUACUCAAGAGAUUCAAUAUGGCCGAGUCUCACCCAUUAUCUAGCCUCAUGGUCGUGAGGUCUCUCGGCCUGGACAUUGAUCCGUUUCGUUCUAAGAUGGACGAUGAAGAUGUCCUAGGUCCCGAAGUGACAUAUCUCAGUGCCAUAGGAGCUUUGAUGUAUCUGGCUAGUCACACACGACAAGAUAUAUGUUUUGUCGUGAACCUACUAUCUAGGUUUAGCUCUUGUCCGACCCAAAGGCACUGGAACGGGAUUAAACAUGUUCUUCGUUACCUGCACGGAACGAAAGACUUGGGUUUAUUUUAUACUAACCAUAACAAAGAAGGAUUAGUUGGCUUUGCUGAUGCAGGUUAUCUCUCAGAUCCUCACAAUGCUCGAUCACAGACCGGCUACGUAUUUACUCAUAGUGGUACGGCCAUAUCAUGGCGUUCUAUGAAGCAGACGACCGCGGCCACUUCAUCAAACCAUUCGGAGAUCUUGGCUAUUCACGAGGCCAGCCGCGAGUGUGUGUGGUUACGGUCCAUGACCAACCACAUCCGAGUCGAUUGUGGGAUGACCGAAGGCAAGGACGCACCAACGAUCAUGAAUGAGGACACUGUAGCUUGCAUUGCUCAGCUCAAGGACGGCUACAUCAAAGGAGAUAGGACGAAGCACAUCUUACCUAAGUUCUUCUUCACGCACGAGCUUCAGAAAGCCAGCGAGGUCCAAAUAGUCCAAGUGCGUUCCAGUGACAACUCAGCCAACCUGUUCACCAAAUCACUUCCGACCUGCACGUUCAGAAAGCUCACGCAUCAGACUGGAAUGUGUAGACUGAAAGACCUUUAGUGAUGUUCAGAACAGGGGGAGUAAUACGUGUUGUACUCUUUUUUUUUUUACCAUGGUUUUGUCCCAUUGGGUUUUCCUGGUAAGGUUUUAAUGAGGCAACAUCCAAAGUGUAUUAUAGUCUCUGUAUGGUUAUGGCAUCCAAGGGGGAGUGUUAUAAACCAUAUUGUGGAUGUCCAUAACCGGUCUGUUCUAUAACUGGCCCAUCUGUUAGAGAGAGACGGCCGUUUUCCUUAUUCCUCAUAGGCGGCUACUUCCUAUUUCCUUUAGACUUAUGAUUUGUAGUUUUUCCAUAUUUGUAUUUCCUUUUCUAGUCUUUCUAUUAUUCUACGACGGUGUAAUUCCUUAUAUAUAAAGGGCUCCUUAUGUUUAUGAUUAAUAAAAAUAAGAAAUUAUUCUUGAUAUCUUGCAUAUUUCUAUUGUUUUAUCCAUUCAUCCAUGUGCAUUUUGAUCAUAUAGAUUAGGAUUUAGCCAUGUUUAGGUUGCAUUUUGCAUACAUGAGUCCUUAUCAGGUAUUGGAGUACCACAUGGAGUUCUUGGAGGCAUUUGGAGCUCAAAAAGGAGUGUUUAGAGUGGUCAUUGGGCGAGCAAGGCAUGGGAGCGACCAGUCCGGAGCGACACCACCAAGUCGCUCUGAUCACCCUACUGGAGCGACCUUACUAGAGCGACAGGAAAGAGUCGCUCGCGUAUUGAUCACCCGGAGACAACGGAUCCGGAGCGACCUCUCGCAGCGACACAGCGAGGUCGCUCCCGAAUCAUGGAAUUUCAGAGAGUGAAAGAUGAACACGGAUGAAAGCCUUAAAGAUCUUUUCUGAAGCUCAAAAUUUGUGGAGACACUGGAAAUUGAGUUAGCUUUCCAAUGGAAGUGGUUUCAAGUCAUUUGGAGAUGUAUUGGAUAAGUUAUAAUCGAUUUACUACAGGUGUAUCAACCCUUGCCGGGGACCACUGGAAAGUUGAUGGGAUUAACCAACUUCCCACUUUCUUCCACCCACUUUUCCUUUGCACGAUUUUUCCUACUUUUCUGUAUAAUAUUUGCUUUCUUUUUAUCCAAAGAGUGGGCAAGAAACAUGAGGAUGGUACUUUGUAAUAAUUUAACUUGUCAAAACUCUCUCUCUCUUUGAAAUAUCAUUGUUCUUAGUGUUCUUGAGCUGUUCUUCAAUUGUUCAUCAUCUGUUCUUGAGGUUUAAUUUCGUUUGGCUUGUUUAAUCCUUGUUUAUCUUUAUUCUCUGUUGUAUCUACUUGAAUAUGCUUCAAUCUAUUAUGAGAUUAAGUGUUUUCAUGGAGAUUAGUGAGUAGUUUCCUUAAGAAUUCAUGGGUUAGGGAGAUUAGAGUAAUUUAGUGAAGAUCUAUGGUGUUAUUGUAUUAGAUCCUUGUAUGAACUUGCUUGUUGAGUAUUUUUAAUGCUUGUUUAGUCUUGAUCACUCUAAACCUGAUUUCUAAACACUUCUCAUCAGACAUGAUUAGAUGAAGUGUUUGAAUCAACUCAACUAAGCUCUAGUGAGAUUAGCCAAGGACACUUGAUGUUAAAAUUGCUAGAUAGUUAUUGAACUUGAACUUAAAGAUUGCUUGAUUGAAUUAAGCCAAAGACAUUUGAUGUUUAAUGAUUUCUAAGCAAAUGGGCAUUUACCUAGACAUAGGACUUGUCUAGAAUUGUGUUUAGACUUAAGAGAUUACUUUGAUUGAAAGCUUGUCACCUAGAUUGGAUCUUAGUUACUUGAAGUCAAUUCCCAAUACCCAUGGAUUCACUUGUCUAAAUUGAUUUUUUUUACUUUGUUGUAUUGCUCUGUUUGCUACUGUUACUUGUCACACACUCACCACUAUUGAAUCUGCUUAGCUUAAGAAAUGACUUGUAUUCUCACUGAUUCACAUCACUAGGACUGGUUCGACAUUCACCCCCCUGUAAUACAACAUUUGCAAUAUGCAGAGAAAAACCUAUUACCAAAUUGGCGCCGUUGCCAAUCCUAGUCUGAUUGUGACAUUGCGUUUGAGUCUUUGCUUGAGACUGAGUUUUACUUUGUUUUUAAGUUACUAAUUAUCUAUCUUCAUAUAUAUUUGGAUGACAGGUGCAUGAACUUGAGAAGCAAAGGAUCAACAAAUCUUGCACCAAGAGUGGACAACAUCAAAGCCUUAGAAAGAGAGUUGGGAAGACAGAGAAGAGAAAGAGAAAAGCAAGCCCACUAACAUAGAUUGGGGCUUGAGAUGGAGAGAAACCCGAAUCAACCGGAAGGUAUCUAUGAAGUUGAUGAUCAUAGACAAAAUGUCCAAGAAGUUCCUCCUGGAGCUGCUCAAGAGGGCAAUGGUCAAGGAGCUGCCAACCUUCGACCUAGACAACCACAACGCCAAGCUAGGGCCAUCGGUACAUAUGAUCAACCUAACAUAAAUGGGAAUAGGUUGGGCAUUAGGGGACCGCCAGUUGCCAACAACAAUUUCGAGAUCGAGUCCAGCCUCAUCAACAUGAUUGAAAACAACAAGUACCAUGGACUUGCCUUGGAAGACCCACUAGAUCACCUUGACAGAUUUGAUAAAUACUGUGGCUUGUCAAAAACAAAUGGAGUUUCAGAGGAUGCUUUCAAGCUCAGAUUGUUUCCCUUCUCUUUGGGAGACAAGGCUCACACUUGGGAGAAAAACAUCUCAAGUGAUACUAUCACAACUUGGGAUGAAUGCAAGAAGGCCUUCCUCAACAAGUUCUUCUCUGCUACAAGGACUGCAAACCUUAGAAAUCAGAUCUCUGGUUUUCAACAAAAAGGACUUGAAGGAUUUUCAGAGGCAUGGGAGAGAUUCAGAACCUACUUGUCUCAAUGUCCCCACCAUGGCUUCAACAAUGAGAGCUUGCUAAGCACUUUCUACAGAGGAGUCUUGCCUAAAUUCAAAAGCCAGCUUGACACUGCAAGCAAUGGAAACUACUUGGGGAGGACUGUCGAAGAUGCAUUAGAACUCUUGGAGAACAUGGCACAGAGUGAUUCUGUCUACAAUGAUGAAUAUGACAGAAGAGACAGAAGUGGGGGAGGAGAAGAUAUGACCACAAAAAGAGAACUGAAAGCAAUACAAGAAAAGAUUGACAUGCUACUAUCAGAAAAGAACAAGAAGGAGGAGUUACAUAUGGUUUCUGAAGCUGAUGGAGUAGAAUGCCAAGAAGAUAUGUACUAUGUCAAUGCUCAGGGUACAUGGUACAAGAAGGAACAUGACUAUCAAAACCAGAACAACUACCAACAGAAACCCUUCUACAACAACCAACAGAAGCCAUUCAACAACUACCAGCCAAAACCAUUCUACAACAAUCAGCCUAAGCCAUUCUACAACAACAACCAAGGUGGUUACCAACCAAAACAGAACUUCCCUCCUGGAUUCUCACCAAAACCAAAUCAACCUGCACAAGAACAAGCUGGAUCAUCAACACAACCUCCACAAGAGAGUAGUACUGAAGCGAUGCUGAAACAAUUAUUGGAGGGACAAGCAAGAAGUGAGAAACAAUUAGGGUAUGAGCUGAAAAAUCUACACAACAAGAUUGAUGGGAAUUACCAUGAUCUAAACAACAAGUUCAAAAACUUGGAGAACCAGUUUGUCUCUAUGACAGCCAGCUCAAGUCGCCAACAAGGUACACUACCUGGAAAGCCUGAACAAAACCCAAAGGAGACAAUGAAGGCAAUCACCCUAAGGAGUGGAAGAGAGUUGCCUCCUAAAGUUCUCAUUAAGGAUAAUGAGAAACAAGGUGGGGAGGUGGUCAUCAAUGUAGAUGAUGAUGUGGUGAUUGUGGAUGAGAAAACUAAUGAGGAAAUAUUGGAGAAGAUAGUUGAAGCUAAGGGCAAGAGAAAGAUUGGAGAGGAGAAAUUUGAGAACAAAAAUGAGGAGGUUACAUCAACAAAGGAGAAAUUGUUCACUCCUCCUCCCUAUGAGCCAAAGCUUCCCUUUCCUGGAAGAUUCAAAAAGCAACUCCUAGAGAAAUACAAAGCCUUGUUUGACAAGCAAAUGAGUGGAGUUCAGCUCACCAUGCCCAUAAUUGAUGCAUUUAUGCUGGUUCCACAAUACAGCAAGUUCUUGAAAGAUGCUGUAGAACAAAAGAAGAAAGAGAUGGAAGGGAUGGUGAUUCUUACUCACGAGUGCAGUGCCAUUAUUCAGAGAAUGACUGUCCCAAGGAAGCUAGAAGACCCUGGUAGUUUCACCCUGCCAUGCGCCAUUGGACCUUUGACAUUUGAGAAAUGUCUAUGUGACUUGGGAGCAAGUGCCAGCCUCAUGCCACUAUCCAUUGCCAAGAAGCUUGGGUUUACACAAUAUAAAAAGUGCAAGAUCUCUUUGGUGCUAGCUGAUCGAUCUGUCAAGCUCCCCAUUGGCAUCCUAGAAGAUCUUCCUGUAAAGAUAGGAAAUUGUGAAAUGCCUACUGACUUUGUAGUGCUUGAGAUGGAUGAAGAGCCUAGAGAUCCUUUGAUCUUUGGAAGACCUUUCUUGGCGACUGCUGGAGCAAUGGUGAAUGUGAGAGAUGGCACAAUUGAUCUCCACCUUGGAAAAGAUCACAUUCUCCAUUUUGAUAUCAAGGAGAUGAUGAAGAAGCCCACAACUCAAGGAGAAAUAUUCUACAUUGAUGAGAUGGAUGCCUUGGCUGAUGAUUUCCUUGAAGAGUUAGCGAUUGAGGACUCUCUUCAACAGGCCCUGACCAUUGAAAGAGAGACCCAAAUGAUUGAAAACAAAGAGAGUGAUGAGCUAGUAAGAAGGCUAGAUGUUCACCUUGAGGAGGAUGGAGAAGAUGAGUUCAUGGAGUUGCCACAAAUGACUCAACAUGCUGCCUCAGCAGACAUUCAAGAGAACCUCCAUGAAGCUGAUUGGAGUGAGCUCAAGGCACCAAAAGUGGAGCUUAAACCUCUUCCCCAUGGUGUAAGGUACGCUUUCCUUGGACCUAAUGAGACAUAUCCUGUCAUUGUGAGUAGUGAGCUGACUGAGAAUGAAUUGUCUAUGCUUUUAAAUGAACUUAAAAAGUAUAGAAAUGCACUAGGAUACUCACUUGAUGACAUUAAAGGAAUCUCACCAUCUUUGUGCAUGCAUAGGAUACAUCUAGAGGAUGAAUCUAAAACUUCAAUUGAACACCAAAGAAGAUUAAAUCCUAAUUUGAAAGAUGUUGUUAAAAAAGAGAUAAUCAAAUUGUUAGAUGCUGGUGUGAUAUAUCCUAUCUCUGAUAGCAAUUGGGUUUCACCUGUGCAUGUGGUUCCUAAAAAAGGUGGCAUAACAGUUGUUAAGAACGAAAAUGAUGAGUUAAUACUAACAAGAACAAUAACUGGACAUAGGAUGUGCAUUGACUAUCGAAAACUGAAUGCAGCCUCUAGAAAGGAUCAUUUCCCUUUACCAUUCAUUGAUCAGAUGUUAGAGAGGCUAGCUAACCAUCCUUAUUAUUGUUUCCUUGAUGGAUACUCUGGAUUUUUCCAAAUACCUAUACACCCAAAUGACCAAGAGAAAACGACAUUCACUUGUCCUUAUGGUACCUUUGCAUAUCGAAGGAUGCCAUUUGGACUGUGCAAUGCACCAGCAACAUUCCAAAGAGCAAUGAUGUCAAUUUUCUCUGAUUUUAUUGAGGAUGUAAUGGAGGUGUUUAUGGAUGAUUUUUCUGUAUAUGGUUCUUCGUUUGCUACUUGUUUGUCAAAUCUUUGCAGGGUAUUACAGAGAUGUGAGGACACUAACCUGGUGCUCAAUUGGGAGAAGUGUCACUUCAUGGUCAAGGAAGGGAUUGUUCUUGGACACAAAGUUUCUGAGAAAGGAAUUGAAGUGGACAAAGCCAAGAUAGAUGUCAUGGUUGGUCUAGCUCCACCAAGAACAGUGAAGGAUAUAAGAAGCUUUCUGGGUCAUGCCGGUUUCUAUAGAAGAUUCAUCAUGGAUUUCUCUAAAAUAGCUAGACCAUUGACCAGGCUGUUAUGCAAAGAAGCUGCAUUUCACUUCGAUGAGGAGUGUAUGGAAGCUUUCAAAAACCUGAAGAAUGCACUCAUCAGUACACCCAUAGUUCAGCCGCCAGAUUGGGAUCUCCCCUUUGAGAUCAUGUGUGAUGCAAGUGACUUUGCUGUAGGAGCAGUCCUAGGCCAGAAGAGAGACAAGAAGUCACAUGUGAUCUACUAUGCAAGUAGAACACUUGAUGAAGCUCAAGCUAAAUACUCUACAACUGAGAAGGAGCUAUUGGCCAUUGUCUUUGCAUUUGAGAAGUUCAGAAGCUACUUGGUUGGGUCAAAGGUGACUGUCUACACUGAUCAUGCUGCAUUGAGACACCUCUUAGCCAAGAAAGAUGCAAAACCAAGACUGUUGAGAUGGAUUCUGCUGCUACAAGAGUUUGAUCUUGAGAUCAAGGACAGGCCUGGAGUUGAGAAUGGAGUAGCUGAUCACCUGUCCAGGUUGAAGGUGGAGUGUGGAAUCCCUAUUGAUGACAGACUUCCAGAAGAGCAAAUGAUGGCUAUUCAUGCAGUGGUAGCUGUUUGUGAGACGGGAAAGAAACUUGAAGAGGUGAAGGCAGCUGAUGAGAAGGGUCCUUGGUAUGCUGAUAUAGUCAACUACUUAGCUACUGGAAAAGAGCCAUUGAACCUUGAAGGUUAUGACAAGAAGAAGUUCUAUAAAGAUGUGAAGAGAUAUUAUUGGGAUGAGCCUUACCUCUACAUACUUUGUAGAGAUCAACUCUAUAGAAGGGCAGUGGCUGAAGAAGAAAUUGAUGGGAUCCUUACACAUUGUCAUGGAUCAUCCUAUGGAGGCCACUUUGCUACCUUUAAGACAGUUGCAAAGGUGCUACAAGCUGGAUUUUGGUGGCCUCACAUGUUUAAAGACACCCAAGACUUUGUCUCAAGGUGUGACUCUUGUCAAAGAAGAGGAAACAUCACCAAGAGGAAUGAAAUGCCUCAAAACCCCAUCCUAGAAGUUGAAGUGUUUGAUGUCUGGGGUAUUGACUUCAUGGGGCCUUUUCCUUCAUCUUAUAGCAACAAGUACAUGCUGGUGGCUGUAGAUUAUGUCUCUAAGUGGGUGGAAGCAAUUGCAAGUCCAACCAAUGAUGCAAAGGUGGUUCUAAAAAUGUUCAAGAGCAUAAUCUUUCCAAGGUUUGGGAUUCCAAGAGUUGUGAUCAGUGAUGGAGGGUCUCACUUCAUCAACAAACUGUUUGCAAACCUCCUUAAGAAGAAUGGUGUGAAGCACAAGGUUGCAACUCCUUACCACCCCCAAACAAGUGGUCAAGUUGAGAUUUCCAACAGGGAGAUCAAGUCCAUUCUGGAGAAGAUUGUGGGGGUUACACAGAAAGAUUGGUCCAUCAAGCUUGAUGAUGCAUUGUGGGCUUAUAGGACAGCUUACAAGACACCUUUGGGGACUACACCUUUCAACCUUCUCUAUGGAAAAUCUUGCCAUCUACCAGUUGAGCUUGAGUACAAGGCACUAUGGGCAGUCAAGUUGCUGAACUUUGACAUCAAGAGUGCCAAGGAGAAGAGAUUGAUCCAGCUGAAUGAACUUGAUGAGAUAAGACUUGAAGCUUUUGAAAGUUCAAAGAUCUACAAAGAGAAAACAAAGGCUCUCCAUGACAAACAUAUCCUGAAAAGAGACUUUAAAGAAGGAGAUCAAGUUCUUCUAUACAACUCCAGACUGAAGUUGUUUCCAGGCAAGCUCAAGUCAAGGUGGUCUGGUCCUUUCAAGAUUAAAGAGGUUAAACCUUAUGGAGCAAUAGUUUUGUGGACUUCUGAUGGAAGAGAGUUCACCAUCAAUGGACAAAGGGCGAAGCUUUACUUGGGAACCAAAUCGGAAGACCUGGGAACUUCAGUUCCACUGUCUAAUCCUACACCGGCCUAAUCUAAAAGGAGGCAAAGUCAAGCUCGGGACUUAAAACAAGCUCACUUGGGAGGAAGUCCCAUGCGUAUCCUUGUAUAUAUUGCAUUGGUAUUUUCAUUUUUCAUCUUAUUGCAUAAAAAAAAAAAAAAAAAAAUAAAAAAAAAACCAAAAAAAGAGGAGAGAAGUUGAAUUUUUCAUCUUAUUGCAAAAAAAAAAAAAAAAAAAAAAGAGAGAAGUUGUGUGCAGGUGCUUGAUCGGUUCAGUUUUGAGCAGGAAUCGUGCGUGGGAGCGAGGUCUCACAGCGACACCUCAAGGUCGCUCCAUCUGGGAGCGAGGUUUCGAGAGCGACACUCCAAGGUCGCUCGCGUUUUCGUCGCCGGAUAAGAAAAAAAAAAAAAAAAAAAAAAAAAAAAAAAAAAAAACCCCUCAGAGCGAGGUCUCGGAGCGAGGUCGAAAGGUCGCUCCAGCUGGGAGCGACGUUAUGGGAGCGAUACCUCGGAGUCGCUCGCAGUUUCGACGAAACGGAGUUCAAAAACUAACCCAGAGCGACGCCCUAGCGCGACACCUUGACGUCGCUCCAGCUCAGAGCGAGGUUUCUAGAGCGAUACUACAAGGUCGCUCGCAGUUUCGACGAAACGGAGUUCAAAAACUAACCCAGAGCGACGCCCUAGCGCGACACCUUGACGUCGCUCCAGCUCAGAGCGAGGUUUCUAGAGCGAUACUACAAGGUCGCUCGCAGUUUCGACGAAACGGAGUUCAAAAACUAACCCAGAGCGACGCCCUAGCGCGACACCUUGACGUCGCUCCAGCUCAGAGCGAGGUUUCUAGAGCGAUACUACAAGGUCGCUCGCGGUUUAGUCGAAACACGACGCGACGAAACGACUCGGGAGCGACCUCUCCCAGCGACACCCUCACGUCGCUCCCGAACCGGUCCAGGUAAGUUUCCUAACUCUAAACCCCGGUUUAACUCAAGUAAACCGACCCUAACCACCCUAGACUGAGCCGGACGACCCUAAACCUACCCCAACCCCCGCGACUCCAUCUCUAUCACUCUCCCUUCCUCUCAAAAACUCACAAACUCUCUCAAACUCACCCACACCAAAAUUCCCAAAACCUUCUCAAUUCUCACCCAAAUCAACUAGUUCUUGUUUCUAAAUCCAAGCUUUCGCCCCUGUAGUCUAUUCUUCACUACCCAUUCACCAUUUCCUUUCAUCCAGAGCAAGGUAUUGAGUUUUUAAAUUCAAAUUCGUAGGUCCAUGAACCCUAGAAUUUGAAAGUCGAAAUUUGGUUCUUUUCUUGCUAGAUUGUGGUGAAAUAGACUAGGGAAAGUUUAUCUAUCAAGUUGGGUUGUUGAAUUAAUGGUGAAAUUGAGUUUAAAUCGCACUUAGGCAAAAUUAGGAUUCAUGGAUUUGGGGGUUUUUCGAAUUUGAUCUUAAUUGGGUGUGUUUGUGGGUGGACUAGAUGAGUUAAGAUGUUACAUUGUUGCAUUGUGUUGAACUUGAGUUUAAACUGAAAAAUUCACCUGUUAAGUUCACUUUUGCAAAAAUUUUCACUUGCAAAGUCUUGCUUUUCUUUACUUCCAUCUACUUAUCCCUUUCCAAGUUGGUAAUUUUUCAGGUGAAAAUGGUUAAGAAGACAAAGGGAAGGUUGGAAGCUGAGAGUCAAGAAGCCGAAAGUCAAGAGUUUGCACUAAGAGGAAAAGCUUUAACCAGCGAGCCAACUGGCUCAGGGACGCAUAGGACUGUGCGACAGCAGACGUUGGCUGCAAAGAAAUCGAAAGAACACGAGAAGAGGGCAGGAAAAAGCGUACCAGUUAACACCCAUGAGGAAGGUGAAACUGAGAGUGAAGAUGAGCCGGCACCUACGAAGAAAGCCAAAAUGUCAAAGGGCAAAGGGGUUGCUGUUGAUCGAGACAGAACGAAAACUCCAUCUGUGGAGGAGCUAUAUGAUCAUUUGAAGAAUGGAGUCACUUGGGCUCCAACCAGGUUUGCCGACCUCGAUUUGCUGAAGGAGUUGGGUCUAGAGUCUGAUAUUGAGACGAUGCUGGGACAUUUGAAGAUGCCAAAACUCCUCACCAUGGCUUAUCCUUUCUACAAGGAUGUCACUUGUCAGUUCCUAUCCUCUCUUGUGGUCACUUACCAUGACACGGCGCAUGUGAGACAAGGAUGGGGAAAAAUCAGGUUCAAGGUCAAUGGAAGAGAAUUCAACAUGAACUUCAAGGACAUUGGGAGGGUCAUGGGGUUCCAAGACCUAGAAGACCACUCACUUCCCAAGUGUGAGAACCUCCCCACACAGCUCUGGAAGUUGAUCACUGGAAACAAGCACUCUACCGGGGCGGACAAGAACUCACACAUCCGACACCCGUCUGUACGCUACCUCCACAGAUUGCUAGUCCAUGCUUUUUACCCACGGAAGCAAGCUGGUACGGUUACUGAGGAAGACAUGCGACUGCUCUGUCCGGCUAUCCGUCCAUACGCUCAACCUGGACUGUUACCCCUUCCCAGCACUGAUAUCUAUGCUACCUUUGGGAUUGUCAGUUUCUUUGUGGGCCGUCUCGAGCACUACAGAGACUGGGCGUGGUACACCACUGAUUCGCGCCCAAAGAUGGGGAUAGGCGGAAUGAUCACACCACUGCUCCAAUUUCUGAAUGUUCCCUUGGGAAAGGACGCAGCGGGGCCUAGGUUCAUUGAUGGCACCUACUUGAGGAUUGCCACAUAUUUCAGUGGGAUGUAUGGGAAGGACUACGUCUACCACUACUACUUGCAGGGCAAGCCAGUCGAGGUGGUUCUUCCAAACCGGAACCUGACGAGUUUAGAGAUACCUGGAGCUGUCAGCUUCAACAUUCCCCAGGAGUACUUUCUCGGAGAACACGGGCCUCUCGAUCCAAUUCAACCAGCUCCAUCAAGGAAAAGGAGUGUCCCUACGCAACCUGACUCGCCUGUUGCAGACACAUCUGAGCAUAUCUAUGGACCUCCGCGCUACUACUUCAAGCCCCAUGACGGAGUCCUUCCACCUGGAGCUCUCCGUGAUGCUCAUGACCACAUUGGUCGUCUCCAGAGGUGGAACAAAGCUCAGGACAGAACGAUAGAAAAGCUGAAGGAUAAGUGCAAGGCGCUCAGCAAGACUGUGAAGAAGCAGGCAAAGACUUCAGCCAAGUUCAUGAAGAAAGUAGCUGAUGUCUUAACUAGGGGAGGAAUAGCUGGAUGUAGCUCAGCCGAUUUCGCUUUUGCGAACACCUCAAACCCCCAGCCUCCACCACCGUCUGAUGCUCUUGGCUUCCCCCUCACUGCUGCGCAGCUUCAGCGUAAGUGGAGGAACCCACCCACUCAACCUUCCACUUCAGGCAACAAAUCCCCAUCCCUCGCUUCUUCAAACAGUGAGGACGAGAUUGACGAGGUUGAGAGCCAACCAUGGUAUGGAGGCUCCGGUUCAGCAUCUGGUGGUUACUACACCACCUUCCCUCCUGACGACGACGAUGCUGGGGCAUCUGCACAGGUUCAGCAUCCGGUGGUUACUACACCACCUUCCCUCCUGACGACGACGAUGCUGGGGCAUCUGCCCCCACAUACUAUCCAUAGGAGGUACUUCUUUCUCUCCCUUGUAUAUACCAUUUCAUUUUUGCAAAUUAGUUUUCUUCUCGGUAUCUCUCUCUUUCCUUGAACACAGAGACUGUGUAUCUAAAGUUUGGGGGAGGUACCAAGCAUUUGAUCAUGUUUGCUUUGAUUGUGUUUCAUUUGAGUCAUGCAUUGAACACCUAUUUGCAUAAAAAAAAAACAAAAAAAAAAAACAAAAACAAAAAAAAAGAUUUUUCAUUUAGAUUGCAUCAUUUGCACCAUUAGGAGAGUCUAGAGCAUAUAGGUUGCAUUCACUUGCAUUGGGAGCAAUGAUUUUAAAUACCUUGUAAAGAACACUACGUUGCACCUGAGUAUCCAUGCACCUCUCGAAAAGACUUGUAUGUUUCGAGCCUUGAAAACUCUUCUUGAAACUUGUUGAUUGUAGAAACUCAGUCUUUGAAGCCAGCUACAACCUUAUUUAGGGUCUCUUGUGUACUGAGUCAUGGCUAUACACACUUGAGUUGUCACAUCUUUUAUGCCAUUCUUUUUGACAAACUCUAGUGGUAGACCACUCCCAAAACCUUUCCUUCCUUUUAAGCUUUCAUUGUUUGAUGAAUGAGGCCUUCUUCGGAAAGUUUUACAUGUGCAUAAUGUUGAGAGUAUCGGGAACGACAAUGCUUGAUCUUCAUUUUUGCUGGAUUGGACACUCUAUUGUCUAGCUAUAGGUGGGAGGGUGAGCGUUGUAAUCAUGAUUUGGGAGAAAUAAAAAGGAUAGAUUCUUGUGCUCAAGUGAAUUGAUUUAUUGGGAUAAGUAGAGAACCUCCAGCUCUAGUUUUGAAAAGUCUUGGCCCCCAACCUAAAAAAAAAAAUAAUAAAAAAAAAUAGAAGAAACCGAAAACUAAAAAAAAAAAAAAAAAAAAGAAAGAACAAAAAUAAAAAAAAAAAAAAAGAAAAAAACGAAAAAAAAAAAAAAAAAAAAAAAAAAAAGAGAGAGAAAAAGGGGGCUAGCAAAGUUGUUAGGAGCUGAGAGACAUUUUGAGGUUGUGAAAAAUCCCUUAUAGAUUUCAAGGAAAAAGAGCUGAUGUUUUUAGAAUCUUUUGGUGAGAGGUGUGAGUUGGGUUUGACAUUUGAGAGUGAAUGUGUAACUUAUAUGUUUGGGAAAAGGGUAGAACAAUGGAGAUUGAGCAUUGUAUGCAUGAGUUGGUCCCUUUCUUAGAUAUAUUAUGUGCAAUGUCAAGGCUACUUGUUUUGAGAGUAAACCACCUUAAAGAUCAUAUGUUUUGAACCUCUUGAAUCACUUGAAUAAAAGCCUUCCCUUACCCAACCAAAUGACUUGGACCAACUGACCAUUUGCAAGAAUUCACUUGAUAUCUUAUGCUUAAUGAAUGUGAGAGUUGGCAGAUCUGAAUGUGUGGAUGCUUGAUGAUGAGUGUAGGGACAAAAGGAGUUGAGAUAGGCCUAGAGAAGCUAGAGUGUAAUAAGAGAGUGUGCUAAUUGUGUUUGCUAGUGGUGUUUCUUUUGGUUAUGAGCUCCCACCUUCAACCUCUCUCCCUAUGAGUUCUAGAAAGUUCACUUGUGGACAAGUAAAGAACAAGUUUGGGGGAGUUGAUAUCUUGCAUAUUUCUAUUGUUUUAUCCAUUCAUCCAUGUGCAUUUUGAUCAUAUAGAUUAGGAUUUAGCCAUGUUUAGGUUGCAUUUUGCAUACAUGAGUCCUUAUCAGGUAUUGGAGUACCACAUGGAGUUCUUGGAGACACUUGGAGGCAUUUGGAGCUCAAAAAGGAGUGUUUAGAGUGGUCAUUGGGCGAGCAAGGCAUGGGAGCGACCAGUCCGGAGCGACACCACCAAGUCGCUCUGAUCACCAGUCUGGAGCGACCUCACUAGAGCGACAGGAAAGAGUCGCUCGCGUAUUGAUCACCCGGAGACAACGGAUCCGGAGCGACCUCUCGCAGCGACACAGCGAGGUCGCUCCCGAAUCAUGGAAUUUCAGAGAGUGAAAGAUGAACACGGAUGAAAGCCUUAAAGAUCUUUUCUGAAGCUCAAAAUUUGUGGAGACACUGGAAAUUGAGUUAGCUUUCCAAUGGAAGUGGUUUCAAGUCAUUUGGAGAUGUAUUGGAUAAGUUAUAAUCGAUUUACUACAGGUGUAUCAACCCUUACCGGGGACCACUGGAAAGUUGAUGGGAUUAACCAACUUCCCACUUUCUUCCACCCACUUUUCCUUUGCACGAUUUUUCCUACUUUUCUGUAUAAUAUUUGCUUUCUUUUUAUCCAAAGAGUGGGCAAGAAACAUGAGUAUUGUACUGGGUAAUAAAGAAAAACUUGUCAAAAAACUCUCUCUCUUUGAAAUAUCAUUGUUCUUAGUGUUCUUGAGCUGUUCUUCAAUUGUUCAUCAUCUGUUCUUGAGUUCUAAUUUCGUUUUGCUUGUUUAAUCCUUGUUUAUCUUUAUUCUCUAUUGUAUUUACUUGAAUAUGCUUCAAUCUAUUAUGAGAUUAAGUGUUUUCAUGAAGAUUAGUGAGUAGUUUCCUUAAGAAUUCAUGGGUUAGGGAGAUUAGAGUAACUUAGUGAAGAUCUAUGGUGUUAUUGUAUUAGAUCCUUGUAUGAACUUGCUUGUUGAGUAUUUUUAAUGCUUGUUUAGUCUUGAUCACUCUAAACCUGAUUUCUAAACACUUCUCAUCAGACAUGAUUAGAUGAAGUGUUUGAAUCAACUCAACUAAGCUCUAGUGAGAUUAGCCAAGGACACUUGAUGUUAAAAUUGCUAGAUAGUUAUUGAACUUGAACUUAAAGAUUGCUUGAUUGAAUUAAGCCAAAGACAUUUGAUGUUUAAUGAUUUCUAAGCAAAUGGACAUUUACCUAGACAUAGGACUUGUCUAAAAUUGUGUUUAGACUUAAGAGAUUACUUUGAUUAAUGAUUUCUAAGCAAAUGGACAUUUACCUAGACAUAGGACUUGUCUAAAAUUGUGUUUAGACUUAAGAGAUUAUUUUGAUUGAAAGCUUGUCACCUAGAUUGGAUCUUAGUUACUUGAAGUCAUUUCCCAAUACCCAUGGAUUCACUUGUCUAAAUUGAUUAAAACCUUGUUGUAUUGCUCUGUUUGCUAUUGUUACUUGUAGCCCAUGGAUUCACUUGUUUAAAUUGAUUAAAACCUUGUUGUAUUGCUCUGUUUGCUAUUGUUAGUUGUCACACACUCACCACUAUUGAAUCUACUUAGCUUAAGAAAUGACUUGUAUUCUCACUGAUUCACAUCACUAGGACUGGUUCGACAUUCACCCCCCUACACUACAACAUUUGCAAUAGGCAGAAAAACCUAUUAUCAAGUAACUUUCUCCCACAGCCGGAUCCAUCGACUUCUACUUCCGGCACUGCAUCCGGCCAAGAGAAUGUGCCUGAUAGCCAAGUUCCUACUGCCGAUCCGUAUGUGCCUCCACAUGCAUAUGACCCUGAAGCUUACUAUCCGCGGUUCGAUGACCCUGCUCAAUUCUUUCCCCAGUACGAUGAGCCUCCACAGCAGCCUCGUUAUGAGCAGCAUCAUCCUCCACACCAUCCUCAGCAGCAGUCCACCGCUCCCGAAUCUGCUCCGGCUCCUGCAGUUGCUCCGGCUCCUGCAGCUGCUCCGGCUCCUGCAUUUGUUCAUCCAGAUUUGAUGGUGCCACCAAAUGCACCAUAUGCAAGAUAUACAGUGGAAGAUCUUCUCCAGAUGCCGGGACGAGAAGGUUUACCAAUCAUCAACCCAGAUCGACCACCCCCCACACUUACCGGUAAUUUUUUAAUUUAUUAAAGUUUUUAUUGCAUUUAAAUAUACUAAUUAUACAUAUUGCUCUAAAUAUAUGUAUUCUUUCAAGUUUUGUAGGUUUUCGACGGACAAUUGUGUGGGACAGAGCGUUGGAGAUAUCAUCAGGGCAAACUUCCGGGAAGCGCAUCCGAACUGGUCUCUCACACCUGACCACGUUCGGAGGACUUGGUUCAAGUGCUUCGUGGUUAGUUUUAAAUAUAAUUUUUAAUUGUUUAUUUACUUAAUUUAAUUUUUUUAUUGUAGCAAAAAUGGAAUUGGUCCAUUGCUGUCAACGAAAAAGUGAAGGAAAAGUUCUACAAAAAGGCGAUGGAUCGCCUAAAGAACAUUGUUGGUGAUUGGAAGGAGAAGUGGAGGGUUUUGGGGGACGACGAAAAAGAAGCCUACUUCAGCAAUGACGUUUGGAAGAGUUUGAAGGCUUAUUGGAAUUUGCCUAAGUCAGUUCAGAGGUCUCUCCCUUGCUCUAUGACUCGGUUGACCCGCGAUGAUGAUGGUAACCUGCCAGUACCUCAUACUUCCGGACAGAUUCCACACGCUGGGAGGGCACUACAAAUUGUAAGUCUUCGAUCUUUCUUAAUUUUUAUUAAAUAUAUAUUAAUUGAAUAUUUUUUUAAUGCGUGAGUUUAAUUUAAAUUUUUUUUUAAUACAGGCUGCCCAAGAAGGAGCACCACCAUCUCUAGCCCGACUUUACAAGACGACACACCAGCAUUCUGAUGGCACCUUCUCGCAUCCUCGAGCAGAGAGGAUCGACAACACUGUUGAGGCCCGGAUCCAGGAGGUCGAGACUCAGUUGUCGCAACAAAAUCCGGAAGGUGCACCGGUCCAGCUGUCCACCGUCGAACAAGACAAAAAUUUUUGAGCAGGUUAGAAAGUUGAUCUCUUAAAUAUAUAUGUUUAUUUACAUUUUUUAUUCUUUAAGUUAGUUUUACAUAUGUACUAAUUAAAUAUCUAUUUAUUAAUUGAAGGUUGCCCCGAAAAAAAGGGGACGUAUUGUCAGGAUCGGGUCUGUCAACGAUGUCCUGAGGGCGAGAGCUGAACACGCUGCAAGAAUGGAAGAAGAAUCUUCUCUCCGUAGGGAUUUGACUGCGGCCAAAGAAGUCAUAGCUGACCAGAGGGACAAAUUUGCAUAUAUGGCAAAUAUGUUCGAUAUGAUGAUAGAGACAACCCCAAACAUCAACCCGGCUCUUGCCUCUAGGUGGCAGUCUCUACAUCUGAGCUUUAUCCCCGAGCCCACUCCGGAAGAGCAGGCAUAUUUAGAGCGACGUGCGGAUGAGCAUAGUUCCGACCUCUUCGACGAAAUAAACCUUAACACUUAGUUUUUUUGGUUUUAGUUAAUUAGUAUUAUGAAUGUUUUAUAUUACGGAUAUUAUUAUGUUUCUGAAUGUUAGAUAUUUUCUUUUAAUUUUAUCGAAUUUUAAAAAUUAAAAUCAAAAUAAAUUUAAAUAUUUGAUUUUAAUUAAUAUAUUAAAUUCGUAAUUAAAUACAAAAUUCGAAAAUAAAUAAAUAAAGUGGGUUAAUUUACGACUAAUGAACAUCUAACGUCGAUGUAAAGUGGUCGUUACAUUACGACAAACAAACAUCGACAUAGAAGCAAAUUGGUCGUAAGUUUACGACCAAUGUACAUCUAAUUUAUGAGACGUAAAUGUGCGUCACAUGUACGACUAAUGAUUUUACGUUUAACUUACGACCAAGUGUCUGAGUCGUACAUUUACGUUUGCUUUACGACUAAUGCAUUUACGUUUAACUUACGACCAAUUUAUUGAGUCAUACGUUUACGUCUGCUUUACGUGUAACACCAUUAGUCGUAACUUUACGAUCAAUGUGCCUCGAAUAAUUAUUUACGACCAGCUUCUAACGACCAAUCGUUUUUCGAAGCUAAUUGGCCGUAAAGCCUAUAUUACAACCAAAUAGCUACUAAUAUUGUAGUCGUUAAUGUCCCGUUUGCUUGUAGUGUAAAUACUUUCUGAAUAAUAUAUUAGGGUUAGAGCUCUUAAAUUAUAUGAAUAAGCUUGGGUCAAUCUUAAAUCUCUGAACCCUAUACAACAUCCCUAGUGAUAAUCCGUAUAUCAUAUAAUAUAAAUUUUAGUUUUAAAAAUUAUUAAUUAACACGAUUGUCACAUAAUAAUUAUAUAUUUAAGAUUUUGACUUGUAUUCAUAAUCAAAAAAAUACAUUUAAGAGCAUUUCCGGCCGUAUACAUACACCACAUCCAUGGAUGCUCUUCCCCUCCAUGGUGUCCACAAGCCAUAAGGCCACACACGAUAGACGUAAGACCACUUUUAAACUUGUUCGUGGAUACCUCAUCGCUCAAACCAUCAACGAAUACCUAGUUCCGAUUUCAAUUAAUCUACUACGAACUGUUGCCUGUUGGUAUAUGAAUCUGGUCUCCUCCGUCGUAAAGAGCAAACUACCCAUUUGGUUUAAAGGCCUACGUGUCUUGACUUUGCCGAGAUCGUGUCCUUGUUACACAUAGGCGAGUUUAAUGGAAGGGAAUACAACAUGAACUUCAAGGACAUUGGGAGGGUCAUGGGGUUCCAAGACCUAGAAGACCACUCACUUCCCAAGUGUGAGAACCUCCCCACAGAGCUCUGGAAGUUGAUUACUGGAAACAAACACUCUACCGGGGCAGACAAGAACUCACACAUCCGACACCCGUCUGUACGCUACCUCCACAGAUUGCUAGUCCAUGCUUUUUACCCACGGAAGCAAGCGGGUACGGUUACUGAGGAAGACAUGCGACUGCUCUGUCCGGCUAUCCGUCCCUACGCUCAACCUGGAGUGUUACCCCUUCCCAGCACUGAUAUCUAUGCUACCUUUGGGAUUGUCAGUUUCUUUGUGGGCCGUCUCGAGCACUACAGAGACUGGGCGUGGUACACCACUGAUUCGCGCCCAAAGAUGGGGAUAGGCGGAAUGAUCACACCACUGCUCCAAUUUCUGAAUGUUCCCUUGGGAAAGGACGCAGCGGGGCCUAGGUUCAUUGAUGGCACCUACUUGAGGAUUUCCACCUAUUUCAGUGGGAUGUAUGGGAAGGACUACGUCUACCACUACUACUUGCAGGGCAAGCCAGUCGAGGUGGUUCUUCCAAACCGGAACCUGACGAGUUUAGAGAUACCUGGAGCUGUCAGCUUCAACAUUCCCCAGGAGUACUUUCUCGGAGAACACGGGCCUCUCGAUCCAAUUCAACCAGAUCCAUCAAGGAAAAGGAGUGUCCCUACGCAACCUGACUCGCCUGUUGCAGACACAUCUGAGCAUAUCUAUGGACCUCCGCGCUACUACUUCAAGCCCCAUCACGGAGUCCUUCCACCUGGAGCUCUCCGUGAUGCUCAUGACCACAUUGGUCGUCUCCAGAGGUGGAACAAAGCUCAGGACAGAACGAUAGAAAAGCUGAAGGAUAAGUGCAAGGCGCUCAGCAAGACUGUGAAGAAGCAGGCAAAGACUUCAGCAAAGUUCAUGAAGAAAGUAGCUGAUGUCUUAACUAGGGGAGGAAUAGCUGGAUGUAGCUCAGCCGAUUUCGCUUUCGCGAACACCUCAAACCCCCAGCCUCCACCCCCGCCUGAUGCUCUUGGCUUCCCCCUCACUGCUGCGCAGCUUCAGCGUAAGUGGAGGAACCCACCCACUCAACCUUCCACUUCCGGCAACAAAUCCCCAUCCCUCGCUUCUUCAGACAGUGAGGACGAGAUUGACGAGGUUGAGAGCCAGCCAUGGUAUGGAGGCUCCGGUUCAGCAUCUGGUGGUUACUACACCACCUUCCCUCCUGACGACGACGAUGCUGGGGCAUCUGCCCCCACCUACUAUCCAUAGGAGGUACUUCUUUCUCUCCCUUGUAUAUACCAUUUCAUUUUUGCAUAUUAUUUUUCUUCUCGGUAUCUCUCUCUUUCCUUGACAACACAGAGACUGUGUAUCUCAAGUUUGGGGGAGGUACCAAGCAUUUGAUCAUGUUUGCUUUGAUUGUGUUUCAUUUGAGUCAUGCAUUGCACACCUAUUUACAUAAAAAAAAAAGAUUUUUCAUUUAGUUUGCAUCAUUUGCACCAUUAGGAGAGUCUAGAGCAUAUAGGUUGCAUUCACUUGCAUUGGGAGCAAUGAUUUUAAAUGCCUUGUAAAGAACACUACGUUGCACCUGAGUAGCCAUGCACCUCUCGAAAAGACUUGUAUGUUUCGAGCCUUGAAAACUCUUCUUGAAACUUGUUGAUUGUAGAAACUCAGUCUUUGAAGCCAGCUACAACCUUAUUUGAACUGAAUGAACUUAAUGCUUCUUGCUUAGGGUCUCUUGUGUACUGAGUCAUGGCUAUACACACUUGAGUUGUCACAUCUUUUAUGCCAUUCUUUUUGACAAACUCUAGUGGUAGACCACUCCCAAAACCUUUCCUUCCUUUUAAGCUUUCAUUGUUUGAUGAGUGAGGCCUUCUUCGGAAAGUUUUACAUGUGCAUAAUGUUGAGAGUAUCGGGAACGACAAUGCUUGAUCUUCAUUUUUGCUGGAUUGGACACUCUAUUGUCUAGCUAUAGGUGGGAGGGUGAGCGUUGUAAUCAUGAUUUGGGAGAAAUAAAAAGGAUAGAUUCUUGUGCUCAAGUGAAUUGAUUUAUUGGGAUAAGUAGAGAACCUCCAGCUCUAGUUUUGAAAAGUCUUGGCCCCCAACCUUAAAAAAAAAAAAAAUAAAAAAAAUAAAAAAAAAUAAAAAAAAAAAAGAGAGAAAAAGGGGGCUAGCAAAGUUGUUAGGAGCUGAGAGACAUUUUGAGAUUGUGAAAAAUCCCUUAUAGAUUUCAAGGAAAAAGAGCUGAUGUUUUUAGAAUCUUUUGGUGAGAGGUGUGAGUUGGGUUUGACAUUUGAGAGUGAAUGUGUAACUUAUAUGUUUGGGAAAAGGGUAGAACAAUGGAGAUUGAGCAUUGUAUGCAUGAGUUGGUCCCUUUCUUAGAUAUAUUAUGUGCAAUGUCAAGGCUACUUGUUUUGAGAGUAAACCACCUUAAAGAUCAUAUGUUUUGAACCUCUUGAAUCACUUGAAUAAAAGCCUUCCCUUACCCAACCAAAUGACUUGGACCAACUGACCAUUUGCAAGAAUUCACUUGAUAUCUUAUGCUUAAUGAAUGUGAGAGUUGGCAGAUCUGAAUGUGUGGAUGCUUGAUGAUGAGUGUAGGGACAAAAGGAGUUGAGAUAGGCCUAGAGAAGCUAGAGUGUAAUAAGAGAGUGUGCUAAUUGUGUUUGCUAGUGGUGUUUCUUUUGGUUAUGAGCUCCCACCUUCAACCUCUCUCCCUAUGAGUUCUAGAAAGUUCACUUGUGGACAAGUAAAGAACAAGUUUGGGGGAGUUGAUAUCUUGCAUAUUUCUAUUGUUUUAUCCAUUCAUCCAUGUGCAUUUUGAUCAUAUAGAUUAGGAUUUAGCCAUGUUUAGGUUGCAUUUUGCAUACAUGAGUCCUUAUCAGGUAUUGGAGUACCACAUGGAGUACUUGGAGGCAUUUGGAGCUCAAAAAGGAGUGUUUAGAGUGGUCAUUGGGCGAGCAAGGGAUGGGAGCGACCAGUCCGGAGCGACACCACCAAGUCGCUCUGAUCACCAGUCUGGAGCGACCUCACUAGAGCGACAGGGAAGAGUCGCUCGCGUAUUGAUCACCCGGAGACAACGAAUCCGGAGCGACCUCUCGCAGCGACACAGCGAGGUCGCUCCCGAAUCCGGAGAGUGAAAGAUGAACACGGAUGAAAGCCUUAAAGAUCUUUUCUGAAGCUCAAAAUUUGUGGAGACACUGGAAAUUGAGUUAGCUUUCCAAUGGAAGUGGUUUCAAGUCAUUUGGAGCUGUAUUGGAUAAGUUAUAAUCGAUUUACUACAGGUGUAUCAACCCUUGCCGGGGACCACUGGAAAGUUGAUGGGAUUAACCAACUUCCCACUUUCUUCCACCCACCUUUCCUUUGCACGAUUUUUCUUACUUUUAUGUAUAAUAUCUGCUUUCUUUUUAUCAUAAGAGUGGGCAAGAAACAUCAUUAUCCAACUUUGUAAUAAUUUAACUUGUCAAAACUCUCUCUCUUUGAAAUAUCAUUGUUCUUAGUGUUCUUGAGCUGUUCUUCAAUUGUUCAUCAUCUGUUCUUGAGUUUUAAUUUCGUUUUGCUUGUUUAAUCCUUGUUUAUCUUUAUUCUCUGUUGUAUCUACUUGAAUAUGCUUCAAUCUAUUAUGAGAUUAAGUGUUUUCAUGGAGAUUAGUGAGUAGUUUCCUUAAGAAUUCAUGGGUUAGGGAGAUUAGAGUAACUUAGUGAAGAUCUAUGGUGUUAUUGUAUUAGAUCCUUGUAUGAACUUGCUUGUUGAGUAUUUUUAAUGCUUGUUUAGUCUUGAUCACUCUAAACCUGAUUUCUAAACACUUCUCAUCAGACAUGAUUAGAUGAAGUGUUUGAAUCAACUCAACUAAGCUCUAGUGAGAUUAGCCAAGGACACUUGAUGUUAAAAUUGCUAGAUAGUUAUUGAACUUGAACUUAAAGAUUGCUUGAUUGAAUUAAGCCAAAGACAUUUGAUGUUUAAUGAUUUCUAAGCAAAUGGGCAUUUACCUAGACAUAGGACUUGUCUAAGAUUGUGUUUAGACUUAAGAGAUUAUUUUGAUUGAAAGCUUGUCACCUAGAUUGGAUCUUAGUUACUUGAAGUCAAUUCCCAAUACCCAUGGAUUCACUUGUCUAAAUUGAUUAAAACCUUGUUGUAUUGCUCUGUUUGCUAUUGUUACUUGUCACACACUCACAACUAUUGAAUCUGCUUAGCUUAAGAAAUGACUUGUAUUCUCACUGAUUCACAUCACUAGGACUGGUUCGACAUUCACCCCCCUACACUACAACAUUUGCAAUAGGCAGAAAAACCUAUUAUCAAGUAACUUUCUCCCACAGCCGGAUCCAUCGACUUCUACUUCCGGCACUGCAUCCGGCCAAGAGAAUGUGCCUGAUAGCCAAGUUCCUACUGCCGAUCCGUAUGUGCCUCCACAUGCAUAUGACCCUGAAGCUUACUAUCCGCGGUUCGAUGACCCUGCUCAAUUCUUUCCCCAGUACGAUGAGCCUCCACAGCAGCCUCGUUAUGAGCAGCAUCAUCCUCCACACCAUCCUCAGCAGCAGUCCACCGCUCCCGAAUCUGCUCCGGCUCCUGCAGUUGCUCCGGCUCCUGCAGCUGCUCCGGCUCCUGCAUUUGUUCAUCCAGAUUUGAUGGUGCCACCAAAUGCACCAUAUGCAAGAUAUACAGUGGAAGAUCUUCUCCAGAUGCCGGGACGAGAAGGUUUACCAAUCAUCAACCCAGAUCGACCACCCCCCACACUUACCGGUAAUUUUUUAAUUUAUUAAAGUUUUUAUUGCAUUUAAAUAUACUAAUUAUACAUAUUGCUCUAAAUAUAUGUAUUCUUUCAAGUUUUGUAGGUUUUCGACGGACAAUUGUGUGGGACAGAGCGUUGGAGAUAUCAUCAGGGCAAACUUCCGGGAAGCGCAUCCGAACUGGUCUCUCACACCUGACCACGUUCGGAGGACUUGGUUCAAGUGCUUCGUGGUUAGUUUUAAAUAUAAUUUUUAAUUGUUUAUUUACUUAAUUUAAUUUUUUUAUUGUAGCAAAAAUGGAAUUGGUCCAUUGCUGUCAACGAAAAAGUGAAGGAAAAGUUCUACAAAAAGGCGAUGGAUCGCCUAAAGAACAUUGUUGGUGAUUGGAAGGAGAAGUGGAGGGUUUUGGGGGACGACGAAAAAGAAGCCUACUUCAGCAAUGACGUUUGGAAGAGUUUGAAGGCUUAUUGGAAUUUGCCUAAGUCAGUUCAGAGGUCUCUCCCUUGCUCUAUGACUCGGUUGACCCGCGAUGAUGAUGGUAACCUGCCAGUACCUCAUACUUCCGGACAGAUUCCACACGCUGGGAGGGCACUACAAAUUGUAAGUCUUCGAUCUUUCUUAAUUUUUAUUAAAUAUAUAUUAAUUGAAUAUUUUUUUAAUGCGUGAGUUUAAUUUAAAUUUUUUUUUAAUACAGGCUGCCCAAGAAGGAGCACCACCAUCUCUAGCCCGACUUUACAAGACGACACACCAGCAUUCUGAUGGCACCUUCUCGCAUCCUCGAGCAGAGAGGAUCGACAACACUGUUGAGGCCCGGAUCCAGGAGGUCGAGACUCAGUUGUCGCAACAAAAUCCGGAAGGUGCACCGGUCCAGCUGUCCACCGUCGAACAAGACAAAAAUUUUUGAGCAGGUUAGAAAGUUGAUCUCUUAAAUAUAUAUGUUUAUUUACAUUUUUUAUUCUUUAAGUUAGUUUUACAUAUGUACUAAUUAAAUAUCUAUUUAUUAAUUGAAGGUUGCCCCGAAAAAAAGGGGACGUAUUGUCAGGAUCGGGUCUGUCAACGAUGUCCUGAGGGCGAGAGCUGAACACGCUGCAAGAAUGGAAGAAGAAUCUUCUCUCCGUAGGGAUUUGACUGCGGCCAAAGAAGUCAUAGCUGACCAGAGGGACAAAUUUGCAUAUAUGGCAAAUAUGUUCGAUAUGAUGAUAGAGACAACCCCAAACAUCAACCCGGCUCUUGCCUCUAGGUGGCAGUCUCUACAUCUGAGCUUUAUCCCCGAGCCCACUCCGGAAGAGCAGGCAUAUUUAGAGCGACGUGCGGAUGAGCAUAGUUCCGACCUCUUCGACGAAAUAAACCUUAACACUUAGUUUUUUUGGUUUUAGUUAAUUAGUAUUAUGAAUGUUUUAUAUUACGGAUAUUAUUAUGUUUCUGAAUGUUAGAUAUUUUCUUUUAAUUUUAUCGAAUUUUAAAAAUUAAAAUCAAAAUAAAUUUAAAUAUUUGAUUUUAAUUAAUAUAUUAAAUUCGUAAUUAAAUACAAAAUUCGAAAAUAAAUAAAUAAAGUGGGUUAAUUUACGACUAAUGAACAUCUAACGUCGAUGUAAAGUGGUCGUUACAUUACGACAAACAAACAUCGACAUAGAAGCAAAUUGGUCGUAAGUUUACGACCAAUGUACAUCUAAUUUAUGAGACGUAAAUGUGCGUCACAUGUACGACUAAUGAUUUUACGUUUAACUUACGACCAAGUGUCUGAGUCGUACAUUUACGUUUGCUUUACGACUAAUGCAUUUACGUUUAACUUACGACCAAUUUAUUGAGUCAUACGUUUACGUCUGCUUUACGUGUAACACCAUUAGUCGUAACUUUACGAUCAAUGUGCCUCGAAUAAUUAUUUACGACCAGCUUCUAACGACCAAUCGUUUUUCGAAGCUAAUUGGCCGUAAAGCCUAUAUUACAACCAAAUAGCUACUAAUAUUGUAGUCGUUAAUGUCCCGUUUGCUUGUAGUGUAAAUACUUUCUGAAUAAUAUAUUAGGGUUAGAGCUCUUAAAUUAUAUGAAUAAGCUUGGGUCAAUCUUAAAUCUCUGAACCCUAUACAACAUCCCUAGUGAUAAUCCGUAUAUCAUAUAAUAUAAAUUUUAGUUUUAAAAAUUAUUAAUUAACACGAUUGUCACAUAAUAAUUAUAUAUUUAAGAUUUUGACUUGUAUUCAUAAUCAAAAAAAUACAUUUAAGAGCAUUUCCGGCCGUAUACAUACACCACAUCCAUGGAUGCUCUUCCCCUCCAUGGUGUCCACAAGCCAUAAGGCCACACACGAUAGACGUAAGACCACUUUUAAACUUGUUCGUGGAUACCUCAUCGCUCAAACCAUCAACGAAUACCUAGUUCCGAUUUCAAUUAAUCUACUACGAACUGUUGCCUGUUGGUAUAUGAAUCUGGUCUCCUCCGUCGUAAAGAGCAAACUACCCAUUUGGUUUAAAGGCCUACGUGUCUUGACUUUGCCGAGAUCGUGUCCUUGUUACACAUAGGCGAGUUUUGAGCAUCUUACAAACACAUCGUUUAUGAUAAUGCUAAAGUUUAAGCCAAAGCAAAAGCUUAUUAUUACCAAAGAAAGAGUGGUAAUCUAUAACGUGUUACAAACUCAGUAGUAUUAUAUAGUCAAGCAAAUUAAUUUGGGUUAUUUAUUAGUCAAUUAAAAAUCUUUUUUUUUGAACGAUAAUUUCAUUACUUAACAAAGCGGUCACAAAGGAUAGGUGGAGUAGUUGAGAAGCGCGCUCUUGGCGAGUUCAUCAGCUGCCCUAUUGUCUGAACGAGGAACAUAAUGAAAGGAGAUUACAUCAAGGUCACAAGCUAACUUAAGAAUAUCAUGAAGAAUUCCAAAGAGAUCCUUGAUUGAUUCUCGAUUGUUGAUGGCUCGGACUAAAGUCUGAGCGUCUGACUUGAGGAUGACGUUGUUGAAACCUUGUGCUUUGGCUUGGCGUAGAGCUUCCCUUAUCGCUAAGGCCUCCGCCAUCUGAGCUGAGUUUACACAAUCUUCGAAUAGGCCCUGUUGGUGUAACACAUGUCCUGAUGGUGUUGAGAAAACCCAAGCCAAUCCUGCAGAAAAGAGUUCUUUUUUCCAUGAUGCAUCAGUGUUGAUAAUCAAGGCGUCCGUUCGAGGCAAUGGUAGCGUCGAAGCCUGUAGAUGUGGUUUUGGCCCAGUUUGUCGCCCAGGUUGUGCUUCUUGCCAUUCACGCGCGUCUGCUAUUGCUUUCGAGAGUGUCUCCGCUGGUUUGAAAACCCUGUUUUCGAAGAUCUUCAAAUUUCGUGUAAUCCAGAUGUUCCAAACAAUCCAAGGGAACAGAGGUCCCAUGUGAAGUCCUGUAGGGGGUAGGUUAGUCAGCUUUGUUCCAAGUUUGAGUGCUUCUUCGAAGUCCAAUGCUGUGGUGAUGACCGCUAAGUUGCUUAUUGGAGCUGCAGACCAGAUGUCAACUGCGAAUUGGCAGUGAAGAAAGAGAUGUGAGGCUGUUUCCUUCAUACCACAAUGAGUACAUGUGAGGUUCUCCGUCAAUCCUCGAGUUUCCAGAUUUUCCCCUAGUGGCAAUGCUCCUUUGGUGAUUUUCCACAGAAACACACGAAGCUUUGGAGGUAGAGGCACUGUCCAAAUAUCUUUCCUCCAGUCCACGUUGGUUUGAGUUGUAUGAGGCAGGUUGCUUGUGAUCUUCAUCUCCAGUGCAGUGAAAUAGCCCGUUCGGGUGGAGUAUUCUCCAUCUUUUGUUGGUAACCAGCAGUGCUUGUCAAGGGCACCCGAGGUACUAGGCCUAAGGCAAAGUAUUGAUGGUGCUUCAAUUGGGAAGAUAUGAGAAACUAGCUCUCUGUUCCAAGUUCCCGAAGGUUGAUCAAUUAAAUCCGCCACUGUGAGGUCCUUUGUUGCCAGUUCCGGAGGUCCCAUUGGUUGGGCUAGCUCAGAAGUAGAUAUCCAUGGUUCAUCCCAAAUACGAGUAUCAGCUCCAUUCCCAAUCACCUUCCCCGUUUUUUUCCAGCAGUAGGUCUCUUCCACACAAAACACUUCGCCAACCAUGUGAGCAAGAGCUUGAAGCUUGAACCGCCAUGAAGUUCGUUGCUUUGCAAUAUUUGCCAAGCAAAACCUUAGCGAGGAGACAAUCCGGUUUCAUUUGUAUCCUCCAGCUUUGCUUUGCCAAGAGGGCGUCGUUGAAAGCUUCAACUUCCCGGAAGCCCAGUCCGCCAUCUUUCAUAGAUUUUGUUACUUCCGACCAGGCGACCCAGCACAUUUUCCUCUCUUCUGGGCUUGCAUCCCACCAGUAUCUUGUCAGUGCGGCUUGGAUCCUUUUGGUGAGACUUUUGGGUAGCUUGAAGCACAUCAUUGAGUGAGAGGGAACCGCCGAUAAUACUGACUUGAUCAUUACAAGUUUACCAGUGGCCGAGAGCUGUCUUGUACUCCAGCUUGCCGCCUUUUGUCUGAUCUUAUCCACAAUAGAGGUGAACAUGUCUUUUUUUUUCUUGCAAAAAUGUUCUGGAAGUCCUAGGUAUUUGCCCACUCCUCCUUUUUUGGAUAUUCCCAAGGUAGCUUUGACUCUUUCCCGGACCUCAGCUGGAGUUUUCCUAGAGAAAGUGAUCGAUGAUUUUGUUGCAUUAAUCACUUGUCUCGACACAGAUUCAUACUUCCUUAGCACGUCUCGAAGGGCAGUGACACUCGUUGGGUUGGUCUUGACGACGAACAUGGUGUCGUCGGCGAAAAGUAAAUGGUUUAUCUUCGGACUUCCCCUGGCUACUUGGAUUCCAGCGAGAGAGCCACGGCGUUGUGCAGCUGAGCAGAGUCCAGAAAGAACCUCACUGCAUAGUAUGAAGAUAUACGGGGAAAGGGGGUCACCCUGUCUGAUUCCGCGGGUUGGUGUGAUCAUUCCCUGCGCCUCUCCAUUCAGAAGGAUAGAGUAUGUGACGGAUGUAAUGCAUCGCAUGAUCCAGCGUUUGCAAUCGUCGUGUAACCCCAGUCGUUUCAAAACAGCAUCCACGAAGUUCCACUCAAGCCGGUCAUACGCCUUGCUCAUGUCCGUUUUUACGGCCAUGGCACAGUGCUUUGUAGCUCCCGAUCGCUUCAAGUAGUGUAGCGUUUCGUGUGUGAUCAUGAUGUUGUCCGCUAUUGCUCUCCCCGGAAUGAAAGCUGAUUGGUUCUCGGAGAUAAUAGUGUCAAGAACAGGUUGCAGCCGCCUUGUUAGUAUCUUCGACACUAUUUUGUAGUAGACAUUGCAUAAUGCAAUGGGUCUGUAGUCAGCCGCCGAUUCGGGUCCCGAUAUCUUCGGGAAGAGCCGCAUGUGCGUGUGGUUAAAGUUGAGAGGCAGGGUAUCGUGUGGGAAGAACGCAAUUAUUUCCUCAGAGAUUGCUGGUCCGACUAUAUCCCAGUUAGUACGGAAGAAACUCGAAGAGAAUCCAUCCGGCCCCGGAGCUUUGUCCGGAUGGAUUGAAAAGACAGCUUCCUUUAUUUCUUUUGGUGUGGGGAUGGCAGCUAGGGAACAUUUAUAGUUGCCUUCGACUGUAUGGGAGAGUGCUUCGUCAACUACAUUUGAUGGUGGCGGGUUGGUUGUAGUGAAGAGUUUCGAGAAGUAAUCAGUGAUGACCUCAAGGAUUUCAUGUUCGUCAAUUAAAAAUCUAAGAUAUUGAAAUUCUAAUUUAAUAAUUUAUCUAUAAUAUAUAUGAGUGAAAUGAAAUAUGAUAAAAUCCUGGAAUAAUAUCUAUAAUUUAUCUAUAGUAUCUGCUCCACUAAAAUAAAAUGAUAAUAUCCUGCCAUCCUGGAAAUUGAGUGAUGCUAAUAUAAUAGAAUAAACUUUGCCUAAAACUACCAAAACUUCAAGACCCAUAAGUGAAAUCUAAGUCUUCGAUGGCUUCUACUCUAACACAAACCACACAAACCAUAAAUAGUUUCCACCUCUUCAUUCUAUAUAAGCAUACGAAUGAGUCAUACUGAUCAUCAUUCAUUAGUAAAUUAAGAUACAAUACUAAGAUGGCAUCUUCUAAAGUAUCUUCCAUGCUUCUCUUUCUCCUCCUUCUCGUUCUUGUGUUUCCCCAUAUGGAUAAAGCCCUUGGUGAAAAAAGACAGCUCCACGAACUUAGUUAGUCUUUUUGUCUUUAAAUAUAUAAAGUCAUAGCUAUUUACUCUAUUAUUUUGAUCUAUUUAGAAAUGUUUUGAACUUUUUUUUUCUUUAAUUUAGCUUGGUUUUAGUUCACAACUAACUAUAUCACAUUAAUUUUUAUAAACAGAAGAUAAACCAUUGUAGUUUUGUUUCCUGUCUUGUUUCGUUCAGACCGAAGUUUAUUGUGAUAGAUGACAAAAUAAAACAAUAUAUAUNNNNNNNNNNNNNNNNNNNNNNNNNNNNNNNNNNNNNNNNNNNNNNNNNNNNNNNNNNNNNNNNNNNNNNNNNNNNNNNNNNNNNNNNNNNNNNNNNNNNNNNNNNNNNNNNNNNNNNNNNNNNNNNNNNNNNNNNNNNNNNNNNNNNNNNNNNNNNNNNNNNNNNNNNNNNNNNNNNNNNNNNNNNNNNNNNNNNNNNNNNNNNNNNNNNNNNNNNNNNNNNNNNNNNNNNNNNNNNNNNNNNNNNNNNNNNNNNNNNNNNNNNNNNNNNNNNNNNNNNNNNNNNNNNNNNNNNNNNNNNNNNNNNNNNNNNNNNNNNNNNNNNNNNNNNNNNNNNNNNNNNNNNNNNNNNNNNNNNNNNNNNNNNNNNNNNNNNNNNNNNNNNNNNNNNNNNNNNNNNNNNNNNNNNNNNNNNNNNNNNNNNNNNNNNNNNNNNNNNNNNNNNNNNNNNNNNNNNNNNNNNNNNNNNNNNNNNNNNNNNNNNNNNNNNNNNNNNNNNNNNNNNNNNNNNNNNNNNNNNNNNNNNNNNNNNNNNNNNNNNNNNNNNNNNNNNNNNNNNNNNNNNNNNNNNNNNNNNNNNNNNNNNNNNNNNNNNNNNNNNNNNNNNNNNNNNNNNNNNNNNNNNNNNNNNNNNNNNNNNNNNNNNNNNNNNNNNNNNNNNNNNNNNNNNNNNNNNNNNNNNNNNNNNNNNNNNNNNNNNNNNNNNNNNNNNNNNNNNNNNNNNNNNNNNNNNNNNNNNNNNNNNNNNNNNNNNNNNNNNNNNNNNNNNNNNNNNNNNNNNNNNNNNNNNNNNNNNNNNNNNNNNNNNNNNNNNNNNNNNNNNNNNNNNNNNNNNNNNNNNNNNNNNNNNNNNNNNNNNNNNNNNNNNNNNNNNNNNNNNNNNNNNNNNNNNNNNNNNNNNNNNNNNNNNNNNNNNNNNNNNNNNNNNNNNNNNNNNNNNNNNNNNNNNNNNNNNNNNNNNNNNNNNNNNNNNNNNNNNNNNNNNNNNNNNNNNNNNNNNNNNNNNNNNNNNNNNNNNNNNNNNNNNNNNNNNNNNNNNNNNNNNNNNNNNNNNNNNNNNNNNNNNNNNNNNNNNNNNNNNNNNNNNNNNNNNNNNNNNNNNNNNNNNNNNNNNNNNNNNNNNNNNNNNNNNNNNNNNNNNNNNNNNNNNNNNNNNNNNNNNNNNNNNNNNNNNNNNNNNNNNNNNNNNNNNNNNNNNNNNNNNNNNNNNNNNNNNNNNNNNNNNNNNNNNNNNNNNNNNNNNNNNNNNNNNNNNNNNNAAGAGUGUUAAUCUUUAACAUCUAAGUUUACAAAUUCAGUAGUAUUAUAUAGUCAAGCAAAUUAAUUUGGGUUAUUCAUUAGUCAAUUAAAAAUAUAAGAUAUUGAAAUUGGAAUUUAAUAAUUUAUCUAUAAUAUAUAUGAGUGAAAUGAAAUAAGAUAAAUCCUGGAAUAAUAUCUAUAAUUUAUCUAUAAUAUCUGCUCCACUAAAAUGAAAUGAUAAUGGGGUGAUUGGUAGUUGUUGUAGGUGCUGUCCACAGUUCUAUUUAUUUCCAAAGCACCAAAUUCAGAGCAAUCAAGCUUUAAAUUUUUUUUUGAAACCACAGCUCUUGAAAUAACCUACAGCUGUACAAGUGCUCUGCAGAGCCAAAUAUCCAAAGCAAUUUUUUAGUGCUUUCCAUAAAAUUCUACAGCAAUAAAUUCUACAGCCACAUCAAAAAGUCUACAGAUUUUUUUUUACAGCAAAAAUUUUAAAACUACGGCCCUUACCAAUCAGACCCAAUAUCCUGCCGUCCUGGAAAAUGAGUCAUGCUAAUAUAAUAGAAUAAAAUUUGCCUAAAACUACCAAAACUUCUAAGACCCAUAAGUGAAAUCUGAGUCAUCGAUGGCUUCAACUCUAGCACAAACCACACAAACCAUAAAUAGUUUUCACCUCUUCAUUUUAUAUAAAUGCAUACCAAUGGGUCAUAUUGAUCAUCACUCAUCAGUAAAUUAAGAGACAAUACUAAGAUGACAUCUUCUAAAGUGUCUUACAUGCUUCUCUUCCUCCUUCUCGUUCUUGUGUUUCCCCAUAUGGAUAAAGUCCUUGGUGAAAAAGACAGCUUCACAACCUUAGUUAGUCUUUUUGUCUUUAAAUAAAGUCAUAGCUAUUUACUCUAUUAUUUUGAUCUAUUUAGAAAUGUUUUGAACUUUUUUUCUCUUUAAUUUAGCUUGGUUUUAGUUCACAACUAACUAUAUCACAUUAAUUUUUAUAAACAGAAGAUAAACUAUUGUAGUUUUGUUUCCUGUCUUGUUUCGUUCAGACCGAAGUUUAUUGUGAUAGAUGACAGAAUAAAACAAUCUCUUUCUUAUUAUUUGAGGAGCAUUAUAAAAAACUAACCUUGAGUUCAUGUGUUAUUAUCAAAAUUGUCAUUUCCUACGUGACAUAACCACAAGCUCUCUCACACCAUAUAUUCAAAAAACCUUUGUUUAUUAGACUAAUUACAAAAAUUGACAUUAAUCAUUUGAUUGUAACUUGACAUAAUAUAUUAUAAGCUUUUUCAUUAUUGACUAACAAAAGAAAAAAUCAUGUGAAGAUUUAAUGUGUAGUCCUAUGAUUGCACAAAUUAAGCAAAUAAGUUAAUGCGUAAUCAUUAUUAGUUUCCUAUAUUCAUCAAAACUAUUGAUCCGUGAUAUAUUUUCGUAUUUAUUAUCUUUUGUGAGUCUUUUUUUACAGAAUCCAAUUUAUGAAAACUUUGACCAAGUCAUAGUCGAGAUAUUAUUAUAGUUAAAUAGAUGAGACAAAAAUAUUGUAUUGGUUUUUACAAGUAUUCAUCAUAUAGCAUGUUUUAUAAUAUUCAAACGAUAUGCAUAUAUAAAAAAGUAUAGUAAAUGUAAUUAUUUUAAAAACUUUUGUACUACAUAAUUAGGUUUACCAAAAAAGAAAGUUGUGUGCCAUGGAAUUUCCUUUUUAUUAUUUGAGGGCUAAGACAAUAUAUAAGACAAAAAUCCAUAUUUUAUUAAUGUUAUAUGAAAUUAAUUAUCAUGUUAAAUGAUAAUACAUUGCUAAUAAUCAUGUUCUUGAGUGAUUGUAAAAUACAUUCAAAAUGAAUUCCAUAAUAAUUUUUUUCCAAUCCCUUAACUUUUGCAACAAGACUAUUUGAUUACGAAAUUAACAUAAAUGCUGACAGACAUUAAAUUUUGAAAUUUAUAUAAUACUUUCUGGUUAAGUUUAAAGUUAAAUAUCAUGUUCUUUACAAUUCAUAAAUGAUACAUGACACUUUUAGAGUCUGGAAAAUAUAAAUGAUUCAUAAUUAUGUUCUUCUAUAAAACUUUGGUACAUGAUAUUAAUUUUGAUUAAUAUUUUUUUAUAUUUUAUGGGAUAUGUGACAUUUAUGAUUGUGUAUGGACAAUAUAAACUCGACUAUAUUGUAAAAUAAAAAUGCCGUAUAUCAAAAGUAUACAAAAAGUUAAAUGCAAUCUUGAGUGAUUGUUAAAUACAUUCAAAAUGGAAUGACAUAUUAAUUUUUUUUUCAAUUCCUUAUUUUUUGCAACAAGAUUUUUGUAUUAUGAAAUUAACAUAAAUGGUGAUAGACAUUAAAUUUGGAAAUUCAUAUAAUUUUUUCGGGUUAAGUUUGAAGUCAAAUAUCAUUUUUAAUAUGGAAUUCUUUAAAUAUUGAGAUCUGUUGAUAGCUCAUUUGUCUAUUUACAAUUCAUCAGUUGAAUUCCCUCAGACUUGGGUCACUCGAUUCAGCUUCUAACCUUCUUAGAUAUUGGAAUUGAGCUUAGUUAACCAAAUCUAGAUAUCUCAGGUGAUUAGUAGAGAUAUUGAAUCCAACUAACGGACCGUAGCCCUUUAUCUUGUGUCUUCUCGAAACUUUUUAAUAAAAACAAACUUUUUGAAACAAAAGAUAAAUAAAAAGAGACUCAUAUGUAUUUUGACUGAUAAUGGAUAUUAAGGUUCAAUAAUAGACUUCUUUUACAAUUUUGAGUUCUAAUCAAUCCACUGGAUAGAAAAUUCUUAUUAUUUACUUCUUUUGUUCUUUUUUUUCAUUUUCAUAUUAUUUACUUCAGUUUACUUUUAUUAUUCUAUAACUUUUAUGUACUCUAGAACCAGUAUAAUUAUAAUAAAAUAUGAUGAUAUAACUUAUAAAUAAUAAAACAACUAUUGUUUAUCGACCAUAAUAAGCUUAUCGUUAUCCCAAAUUGGAUCAUUUUAUUUCCAUUAAUCUGUACAUCAAACGUUACUUCUUUUAAUCUAUAUAUACAUGUCACUAUUACUUUUACCUUUUCAAUUUAUAUCUUAAAAUUUAUAAUUAUUUUAAUUUAUUCGCCCUGCGCCCAGGUCAUCACCUAGUAUAUAUCUAUUUAAGUUGGGAUUAUGCGAAUUGAUAGACAAAUGUCCACUUUAACAAAACUUGGCGCUGUAGUAAUUAAUUCGUUAAGUGGUUUUGGUGUAGAACGCACAGAGCAUCCCGAUCAACUGAUGACGGUUGGAAGGAGCCUUCUCUUUCGUAUCCCUCCAUGCCCACCGUCCUUAUGUAAGCCUCGUCCGAUAAGAAUUCCUCCCCGACGUCGUACACCUCCACCCCCUCCACGGCAUUGAAGGUUUCCAAAAGGCAAAAACACAUGGAUCCCAAAACAUUUGGAUGAAAAUAUAUUUUCGUAAUUCCUCACUAUAAAUGUAAUUCUGAAAUUUUCUUUCAAAAUAAAGAGAUCAUGCCACUCGGGAUGAUGGUAUGAUGAUAUGUUGUUGUAAGUUUUAAGCUAUUGUAUGAUGAUAUAUUUGUUGAUAUUGUGUCGAUAGAGAAAGUGGCAAAAAAGAAAAAAUUUAAAGAAAGAAAUGAGAAGAUGUUUGAUACGACAUUCUAUAUUAUAUAAAUGAUAUUUUCAAGUCACUUAAAAUAUUUUUUCUCUCCGAGCGACAAUAAAGG